GUGAUCUUUGUAAAGUGAGGUGAAGGAGGAGUUUGUGUAGUGACAACACAAUCACACUGUGUGCAGAAAUAAAAACCUGUUCAACCAAAUAUUCACAUUUAGUUGGGGUAUGAGAAGAGGAGUGCUCAUCUGAAGUUUGUUGGUUUGACCAGCAGGUGGAGCUGCUGCAUUAACAAUAAACUGAGACUCAACCAACCAAACAAGUUCCUGUUUUAGUGAACUUUUACUUUGGACUCAGGAGAGGAAGGUGGCUGUCAAGAAUACUGAACUUAAAAGAUGAUGAAAAACUGUCAGUAAAUGAGGAGAAGAAUCUGUGAUCUGGUGGUUUAGGUUUCAGUGAAAACAGUCAGAGUGAAAGUGAAAGUAUGUGAGCUGAAAAACAGACUCCAUUUUGAGAAAAGAAGAGAGAGGAGAGGACGAGGAGACAGGGUGAGUGUUUACUCUGUUUUAGUUUUAAUGUCAAACUCUUUAUCUGUUUUAUCUGUUAAUGAAAAAAUGAUUUACUGACUAAAACACUUAAAAACUGCAAAACAAAGAAACCAGAGCAGACAAAGAGCUGGAUCAGUUCUUCAUACAGGAAGCUGUGUACGUGCAGUUCUUCCUCCUCUUUGUUUAGACUUGUCUUUUUGGUAAAAAUAUUAAUCAGAAUCUUUUUAGCGUCUCAUUUCAAAUUUAAUCCAGUCUCCUUAAGUUUUUUUCUGAGAGUUCAGGGACCUCACAGCUGAUUUUGUUUUGACCAUGAAUCAGACAAGGAUCAGAGAGAGGCCCUGCAGGGUGGGGAGACAUCAGAAGUUCUUGGAUAUUAAACCUGUAUAACUCUUAAAGAGGGGGAUGAAGCUGUUUUCAGACUCUGUACUUCCUUUCUGAUUCCUCUUUUAUUUCUGAACUCUCUCUUCCUGUUUGUGUCUCACCUGUUUGUCUUCUUUGUCCUCAGGUUGUAUAACUCGGUUUCAGCCUCCAUAAAUUUGCACAACAGAAGAUGGAGAAGAUGAGUGUUUGUGUCGAGGAAGAGGAGGGCAGAGCAGAGUCUGAUAUGUUUGACUGUCUGUCUAUGAAGAGUGACCGGUCUAAAGAUCCUCCACCUGGUCUUCAGUAAAGAACCAGGACCCCCAGAGGAGGACAGAACAAAGUCUGUUAUCUCCAGCUGUCUGUCUAUGAAGAGUGACCGGUCUAAAGAUCCUCCACCGGUCUUCAGUGAAGAACCAGGACCCCCAGAGGAGGACAGAACAAAGUCUGUUAUCUCCAGCUGUCUGUCUAUGAAGAGUGACCGGUCUAAAGAUCCUCCACCAAAAUUCAGUGAAGAACCAGGACCCUCAGAUUCACAGUAAGAGAAACACUUUUCAAUCACCAAACUCUCAAACAACAUCUGAUGUUUCAAAUACAAAACUUUAAAUCCUGACCCCUCUGUUUUCUCCUCUGUUCUCAAAACACUGAUUUUCCUCUUGAACCUGCCAACCUGGAUAAAAUUCAAUUCAAUUCAACUUUAUUUAUAAAGCCCAUUUCAUGUACAAGGCAGACUCAAUGUGCUUCACAACAGGUGUACAUAGUUAAAAACAGUUAUACAAAAAUCAAUUAGAAAUCAAUGUAAGAGUGUAAGUGCAAGUCAACUUCACUGCAUGCACACUUAAACUCGUACAUGCGCACGCACUCACACAUGGACACGUGCACACGUACACACAUACACACACAGUUUAAAAGAAUGCUAUAGAAACCUGUUUUUAAAGAUGGCUACUGAUGUGUCUAACUGUGUCAGGCAGGGUGUUCCAUUUUUGUGGGGCAUAAACACUCAAAGCUGCCUCCCCUUAUUUGGAUCUGGUGUGAGGGAUGAGUAAGUUGCCACUGCCUGUUGACCGAAGUGUUCUUGCUGGGGUGUAGGUGAUGAGCAUAUCUGUGAUGUACUGAGGUGUAAGGCCAUGUAGUGCUUUGUAAACCAGGAGGAGUAUUUUGAAAUCGAUUCUUGUCCUAACGGGUAACCAAUGUACAGAUUUGAGAACGGGUGUGAUGUGUUGAUAUUUUUUGGUACCAGUGAGAAUACAUGCAGCUGCAUUUUGAAUUAACUGUAACCUCUGAAGACUUGAUUUUGGGAGUCCAGUGAAUAAACUGUUACAGUAAUCCAGUUUACUUCUUAUAAAUGCAUGGAUGAAUUUUUCUAAGUCUGAUUUUGACAGAAAGCCCCUCAGUUUGGAGAUAUUUUUGAGAUGAUAGAAAGAUGAUCUUGAAUUAAAUCUUGUAAUGGAUAAAAGGCUGGUAAAGAAAAAGUCACUGAGCACAGAUUUACUUAUUAUUCUUGAUGUUUAUAAAAAUGAAGGGCAUAUAAAACAGCAUUUGAAAAGGAUUCUGACCUCUCGUAUUUUCUGAUUUGGUUCCUGUGUUUGGGACGUUUUGAGCCUGUUAGUCUUUGGACUGUGGUGUAUAGACCCCAGAAAACAGUCUGUGGGUCACAAAAUACCAGAAGACUAAAGAAGAAAUAAAUCCUGAAAAAUAAAAACUCAUUCAGAGCAUCUUUCUGUUAUUAGACCUUUAGAUCUGAUUGGUCAAAAAAAAAGUUUUAAACUGUCAGAGAAAAUCUCUCUACCUUCAAAAAUCAAAGUUUAGUUUUUUUCUCUUGUCAUGACACUUUCAGGCAGCAGCAGCUGAAUAUUUUACAGGAGAUUGUUUUAUGUUAGAGAAAAGAGAAACUCUGGUUUAAUAAAUGUUUCUUAUUCUGUAUCUUUCAAACAUGAAAUAAUAAAGAAAAGAAAUGUUCUUUAUUUCCACAGAGAGACACAGAGAUGUGACUCUGUGGAGGAGCAGCUGUCCAAAUGUUCUUUAUGUCAGGAUGUCCUGAAGGAUCCAGUCUCUACCCGCUGUGGACACCAGUCUACUUCUUCAGGAUACACCUCCUGUCCCCAGUGUGGAAAAAGAACCAGAACAGUUCUUGUCUUUCAGACAGACAGCCAGUCCAGCUCUGAUCGAAGUAAGUCUGAACACCUUUAAACCCUAAAUUAUACAAUUUCUGCCUGAAUUAUUUUGCUUAUUUUAGCCAUAAAAUUGGCAGAAAAUGUCUUAUGAGUGAGUGCUUUUUUAUUCAUUGGCUUUCAACCCUGCAUGAGACUCGGCUCCUGUUUUAGUGUUUUAUGGUUUGUUUUUAGUUAUUUGUUUCUAUGUUUUUAAAUUAGUUUUUAAAAUUAUUUUAACUCUAUUUUACUUUUUUAAUAUCUGCUUUUAUUUUUUCCACUGUUUUAAUUGUUUUUUUAUGUCUAUGCUUUUUUGUCUAUUUAUGUACAGCACUUUGGUUGGCUGUGGUUGUUUUAAAGUGCUUUACAAAUAAAGUUGAGUUUUACCCAUUUUUCCAGAGCACUUAAAACUUUCAAUAUCUGGCUGUCAUUUACGAUUUACUGUCUGUUAAAAAACUUUAACAUUGUAAGAUAAAGAAAAACACAAAAACGGAAUACGAUUUUUUGAGUUUUAAUGAGAAAAAACAGAAAAUAUUCAUGAAAAACAGAUUUUUCAUUUGAAAUAAAAAAAAAUUAAAGAGUAUCAAACAUAUUUACAACAAAAACUUUGGAGUACUGUCUCUCCAAGUGCAAAAACAGGCUGAAUAAAUACAACUGUGUCCACGCGUUUCUCCUCGUUUCUCCUCUCUCACUCAGAGGUCUUUGUGAAACUGUCAGAAGCUGUUCCUUUCUGUCUGCAGACACAGACCCACAUCACACCCCUCACACUUCCAGGCAGUUCUCCUUAUGACAAAGUUUGCAGCGUCGUCUCCUCAUGCCGGUUCUUUGAGACUUCAGCUGUCCAUGGCUUGUUUGGGCACGUAGCUAUACUCUACUAUAAACGGUGAGCAUUUCUGCGAAGUGGAUGUAAUUCUCGGUUGGCAUGUGUUUCUCGGUACAACAUCAACGGUUGCAAAAUGAGAAACCGACAAGAGAAAACCGCCGAAGAUGAAGACUUGUUGGUAAAAAGAGAAGCCACGUCACUAACCAUUGAAGAUGAAUACUCGUUGAUAAAAAGAACGUCACUAACCAUAGAAGAUGAAGACUCGUUGAUUAAAAGAAAAGCCACGUCACUUAUCUGUAAUUAUUUCGGUUACAAAAAGGAUGACGUCACCUAACACCUGUUCUGUGUCGGCAGGGCCUUUCAUCUGUUUCCACAAUAACGUCCCAGCAGAACAAUAAAAACUAAAAAUAUCUCUAAGACAGACAGAAGCCAUUCUACUAACAUGCACUAAAAGAGGGAAGAUCAGUGCAGGUUAACUGUCCUCAAGAUUUCAGCAGAAAGUCAGAUUCAGAUCAUCUGAGGAAAAUUCCUCUAUUUUUUAAUAUCGAUUAUAUAUAUCACAGGGUUGAACAACUUUUUAAUGUUAGUGUUUUCUAAUAUCGUGCUGUCUUAAUGGGCACACGUUACUACAAACUCACUGCCUUAGCAUGGUAUUCUAAUAAAGUCACAACAGGUUAUAAGUGUUGAUUUACUCAUAAAAUAACGUAAAUAAACUAAAAACGACACAGAGAGCGCUUCAAUCAUCCAGAGACCAACACAGAAAAUCAACCAGUCAAACUUUACCUUUCUCUGUCUGAAGUUGCUCUGAAAGCUUCUCCAUCGGUACCAAAGUCGUCUGAAAACCUCAGUGUAGGUUUUCUCACUCAGGAAGGAUUUAUCACAGACAUUUUCCUUUGAAAUAAUCCCUUUUUUGUCACUUUUCUCUCUUUUUGCUCCGUUUCUCUGCUCUGUUGUGUGUCUAUCCGCUGCUUUCUUUGAGAGGGGGAGAGGGGACGGAGAGACAGGUUUUCUCACUUCCCUAAACAGCAGGAGGGUUAUUACCGUAAUAACCGUUUAUUGGCUGUGUGGCGCAACUUCUCACCUUUCAGAAACCGUUGGAGUUUUUUUGACAGCACAAACUUUCCCACAGUUACGGUAAUUUAAAGAGCGCCUGUGCAAAAGGUGUCGGCGCCGACGGACUGUGAGGAAAAGUCUGUGUGGAUGAAAACUCAGCUGACUGAUUUUCACAAAGACGUUUCAGUGUUGAGAAGUUUGGUUCAUUUUAUUUUUCUUCUCUUUCAGAAGAUGGCCUCCCGCAGGAGGUUUUAGAUGAACAUAAGAUCAGUCUGAAGAGGAGAUGUGAACGUGUGAAUGAAGGAAGUGAUGAAACAGGAAGUAGUCAAACCCUCCUCAACAGGAUCUUCACUGAGCUCUACAUCACAGAGGGACUGAGUGAAGAGGUGAACACCCAACAUGAGGUGAGACAGCUGGAGAAAACUUCAAAGAUGAAGACCCUCCAUGACAUGCCCAUCAAGUGUCAUGAGAUCUUUAAAACCUUACCUGACCAACAGAAGAAGCUCAUCAGAGUGGUUCUGACCAACGGCGUGGCUGGUGUUGGAAAAACCUUCUCAGUGCAGAAGUUCACUCUGGACUGGGCAGAGGGUUUGGAGAACAAAGACCUCCAUCUGGUGGUCCUGCUUUCAUUCAGGGAGCUGAACCUGAUCAGAGAAGAGCGCUUCAGUCUUCUGAGUCUGCUCCAUGUUUUCCAUCCAACACUAGAGAAGGUCACAGCAGAGACGCUGGCUGUCUGUAAACUUCUGUUCAUCUUUGACGGUCUGGAUGAAAGCAGACUGUCUCUGGAUUUCACAGACUCUGAGGUGGUGUCUGACGUCACACAGAAGUCUUCACUCAACGUUCUGUUAACAAACCUCAUCAAGGGGAACCUGCUCCCCUCAGCUCUCAUCUGGAUAACUUCUCGACCUGCAGCAGCCAAUCAGAUCCCUCCUUCACGUGUGGACAGGAUAACAGAAGUACGAGGCUUCAAUGACACCCAGAAGGACGAGUACUUCAGGAAGAGGUUCACAGAUGAAGAUCUGUCCAGAAGAAUCAUCUCACACAUCAAGUCCUCCAGGAGCCUCCACAUCAUGUGUCAGAUCCCGGUCUUCUGCUGGAUCACUGCGACAGUUCUGGAGGACAUGAUGAUCAGAGAGCAGAGAGGAGAGCUGCCCAAGACCCUGACUGACAUGUACUCACACUUCCUGCUGGUCCAGACUAAGAGGAAGAAGCAGAAGUAUGGAGGAGGACAUGAGACAAGUCCUCAGGCACUGAUGGAUGCUGACAGUGACGUCCUCCUGAAGCUGGGGAGGCUGGCAUUGGAACAUCUGAACAGAGGAAACAUCAUGUUCUACCAAGAAGACCUGGAGCGGUGUGGUCUGGAUGUCUCAGAGGCCUCGGUGUACUCAGGAGUUUGUACAGAGAUCUUCAGAAGAGAGAGUGUGAUCUUCCAGAAAACUGUUUACUGUUUUGUUCAUCUGAGCGUUCAGGAGUUUCUGUCUGCAGUCUACAUGAUCCACAGUUUCACAAACAGGAACACAGAAGCUCUGAAGACUUUCCUAAGAAGCAACGAUGAUGAAGAUAAAAUGUCUUCUUCAGAGAUGGUUGACAGAUUUUUUCAAAACCUGGAUUAUUUUUUCUCAUCUCAGGAUGUCUUCCUGAAGAGUGUCAUGAUGAAAUCCCUUGUCAGUAAAAACGGUCACCUGGACCUGUUUGUUCGCUUCCUUCAUGGACUCUCUGUGGAGUCAAACCAGAGACUCUUAGGAGUUCUGCUGGGUCACACAGACAACAGUCCAGAAAUGAUCCAAACAGUCAUCAACAAUCUGAAGGAGAUGAACAGUGAAGAUAUCUCUCCUGACAGAAGCAUCAACAUCUUCCACUGUCUGAUGGAGAUGAACGAUCUGUCAGUUCAUCAGGAGAUUCAAGAGUUCCUGAAGUCAAAGAACAGAUCAGAGAAGGAACUCUCAGAGAUCCACUGCUCUGCUCUGGCCUACAUGCUACAGAUGUCAGAGGAGGUUCUGGAGGAGUUGGACUUAAAGAAUUAUAAAACAUCAGACCAGGGACGACUGAGACUGAUCCCAGCUGUGAGGAACUGCAGAAAGGCUGUGUGAGUCCAGGUUUUAUUCUCAGAAAAGUGUAAAUGAUCCCUGUAGUUCUUCUAAUGUCCACGUUACUGAUGAUGUUCUUCUUCAAAUAGAAAUCAAAUAUCAGGGAGGGGGUUUCUUUAGCAAAAACAUGAUCCUGGUGUCUAAAGUCCUGUUAGCCCAGGAUGAGGUCUACCUGUGGACCCCUGAGAACUUGUCCUGAUUGUGGAGGACCUCUUUGUUUUGAAUCGUGUCUGUAAUGAAUAAAGUGGAACUUUGAGGACAAAUCAGCGACCAUAUCUGAGGACACACAGAGGUCUUCUGAUGAUGGUAUCAGUCCAGAUCAACAUCUCAGUCAGUUGUGGUGAACUUGAGUUUGAAGAAGGUGUCUGCAGCUUCUUCCUGCUGGUUUUCAGGUUGGAAAUGAUGAAUCUGUUGUAAAUGAGGGUGUUGACAGCAUUGAUGGUGAAAAUAGAACUGGAUCAUUUUCUACACAGUGUCAGAACUGUCUCUGUACCAUCAUGUUCAUCAUUCAGUAUUCAUAAUCAAUACAACCAUGAAAACUAACAUCAUUUUCCACCACUCACUGGAGAUUAUCUGCUGGACUAGAACAUAUGAAUGAUGAGAACACAGGAGGUAUUUGGACAGCAGCUCCAUGAGUCUGAAAAAAGUGGUGGAGAUAGGAUGUUAAUGUCUCUCUCUCUCUCUCUCUCUCUCUCUCUCUCUCUCUCACUCUCUCUCUCUCUCUCUGUCUCUCUCUCUCUGCCCACGGUGCUGCAGGUUGGCACUUACACUAGUCUGCCUCAUAACACCUCAUAGCAUGUGAAAACAGCCGUGCUCUUCCACUGUAUAUAUGGACACCAUGUCUCUAAGGAGAAGCAGUGUGACUGCAUCAUCAUCAUCAUCAUCAUCAUCAGUUUUCCAUGUUGUCCCUUUGUUGUCAUGGUGAUGCAGAGUGAAGAUGAUUCCUCUCAUGUUGAGAUGUUGGUGGGCUGUAACUCGGCUGCACGCCUCUGUUUCAGAUGUUGAUGUAAAUUGGUCAGACUGCUGCCUUCUGCUGAAACAGCCUGUAAACAAACACUGCAGCAGACUGGGGUUUGAUCCAGGUCUGAGUCUGAGAGACUGAACCAGGUCUAAAGGACUAACAAGGACUCUUUUAGGGAGCAGAAAAGUCUGUUUUUGGUCAUAACUAGCAUGGCUGUGAUUAGGUUGAAUUAAUACAGGUACCCAUAUUGAUCCUCCAUGUUGGUAUUAUCAGGACUCAUUAUUGAUACCUCACUUCAUGAUUUAGUGCAAACAUUUAAAAAAGAGAAGAAAACAUGUUCAAAGAUGAAUCUCUUUUAUUUCUUCUGACUCCAGAUGUUUCUUUCUGCAUCAAACACACAAACUAGAAAAAUUCAAUGUUAUUUUUAUAGGAAUCAUGGGAAUGUACGCCCCCUAGAGUUACAUGGAGAAAAAACUUUCAUUGUGAAAACAAAGAAAUUUUGAAUUCUUCAAAUGUUCAGAGUCAAACCAGCUCUAACCUGCUAAAAAAUGUUUUUAUCUGAACCAAUCAGAGAAACAGGAGCUGCUGUGAUUUAGUGAGUCGUCCUCUGAUUGGUCAACAGUCAGUGUCUAUGGAAAGACUUACAUUACAGCAGGAUGUCAACAUUAAACACUGAGAGGAGCACUGAUUCUCCAAGAGGUACUUUGGAUACUGACCAAUCACAUACCAGGACCAAAAACCUGGUUCUCAGUCCCCUUCUCCAACCAGAACUCAAGAAUUCACUCAAUCAUAAUGAUCCAGCUGCACUAACAUGAAGACAACACUGUUAGAGAACAGAAUGACUAAAAUAAGUCAUGGAGUCAUUUGUCUUGAACAUCAAAACAGUUUUUUUUUUCUUCUAAACUUUGACUUCCUGUCUUCUCUCAUGGCUGUGGUCCUGAUAUUAGUAUCUGUCUGGUUAAAAACAGGCCGUCUGUCAAACCAAAGAUCAUGUUUGUUUUUGGUGAGGAGAAACAUCAAAUUACCCUUUAAUGAAAUAUUGUUGAUAUUUAUGUUGUUACAGAUUUUCUCUCUGUGGACUCUCAGAGACUCACUGUGAAGUUGUGGCCUCAGCUCUGAAGUCCAACCCCUCCCAUCUGAGAUAUCUGGACCUGAGUAACAACGAGCUGAAGGAUUCAGGGGUGAAGCUUCUCUCUGCAGGACUGGAGAGUCCAAACUGCAGACUGGAGACUCUGAGGUGAGACACCAUUUCCUUCUGAUCUAACAAUAAGAUGUGACAGCUGCUGCCUUAGAUUUUUCUCUGUGGUUUUUCCAUCAACUUUGGUCGAGCAGUUUGAAUUUGUCGUUGUAAAACUUCAACACAGGAAGAAAAAUCCGACAUUUCAGAGUUGACUUUGAGGAGAACGAUGGAUGUAGAAAGGAAGCAGGAGAAAAUCAGUCCACAAAUAUUACACAUGCUUGUAGAGGGCAGGAGCAGCACAGACUAAAGACUGAUACUGAACUGAUCCACAGUUAAUGUGAUCACUAAUGAAUGAAUGAAGUGUCAGAGAAAUGAGGAGCUGCAGAUUGAAACCUGAAGAACAAAGUUAAUCCAACUCUGGAUAUUUCAUUUGGAAACUCUUGAAAACUUGAAUUUCUUCUUUGCUCAGUCGUGUUCAAAUGUAAAAACCAGAUCCAGAUUUGUCUGCAGUUUUCACUUCAGUUUGUUGAACAUGAACAUCAUCUUGUCCAGUUGGUCCAUAAAAACCUCUCUGAUCAAUGAUCUGUUGGUUUAUUUAAGAGUAGUUUGGCAGUUGUUGACAGCAGACGGACAGACCCCUGAAUAAACUCCUGACUGUUUUCAUCUUCAUGAAGAAUUCAGGACUACAAAAGAACCUUUGAGAUUUCUCACAUGAGUUUCUCAGGAUCUCACUAAAGUUUUCUGUUUCUUUAAAAUUUUCUUGACUGAUAAAUUCCUCAGGAUCUUCAAAAAGUUUAGAGAAGAUUUUACAAAGUUCCUGAAGAUCAACUCUGAAAAAGUUCUUCUUCCGUGUCCUUCAGGGGCUCAAGAACAUUGAAUCAUUAAAAACAGGAACAGUUUCUUCAGAGGUUCCAUGAUUUUUUUCUUUUUUCAGACUGUGACAGGUGUUUAUUAGUCUUUUUGACACAUUACAAUAAUGAGGAUAAAGUCAUGGACUAAACUUGGGCUCCCAGUUUCCUUGUUGUUGUUUCUUCAGCUAGCAUCAUUGUUUUCAUCACAGUUAUUAAAGUAAUAAUGAUGCUUCAUAAAUUCAGAGUCACAAAAAAACACCAAACAAACCAAAUCUGAAAAAAAUUCACUUUUUCAUCAAAUGAGUUUAAUCGGUCAGAACAUGAGGUUUGAGUUUUCAUGAGGAGGAAACGAGAAAGAUCUGCUCUGACAGUGAGAAACACAGACGCCUGAAUCUACACUGACAGACAGACAAACACAGACAGAGAGACACAGACAGAGAGACACAGACACAGACACACAAAUACAGACACACAGAGACACAGACACACAGACUAACAGAGAUUUUCUUCUUCGUCUCUUUGCUGUGAUGACUGAAGUCACAAAAACAAAGUUUUCUUCGUCACUUUUAUGAUUGAACCAAAUAAGUUAAAGAACCAAACUCUCAGAUUUUCUUCUUCUCAAUAUUAUUUGAACCAUUUUGAUUUUUCUCCUGAUCAAUAUUCAAUGAUCAGAUUGAUCAGGUUCCUGUUUUGGCUCCACUGCCUCUUUUCUGCAGCUCAAUAACUGCUCAUAUGGUUUGAAAGGUUCCUGCAGUAAAAACCCGAUUAGAGAGUGGACUAAAUGAAAUGUGAGUGAACUCAGCCAUCAGUGAAUCAAUGACAAAGUGAGAGGAAGAGUGGAUCUGUCUGCUCUCUGACCUUGUUGAUCCUGAUGAAGGUGAGGGAGAAGAGUAAAGCAGUAAAGGUGAUGUUGUUGCAGACAGAGUCAGCUGACCUGUCUCAUCAGAGUCUCAUCCAUUCUCUGUUUGGCAGAGCGCUGAUGUUACAGUCUGAGAGCACAUUCAGGUUCAGCUUCACAUGGGCUGGAUCUGCUCAAUACAAACUCUUAAGACCAGCCUGGUUGAGGGAGGUGGGCUCAGUGUCCUGGGUGACUCUCUCUGAGCUCUUCUUGGUUGAGAGUAUUUCUGGUUUGUCACUGACUUCCAUGAACUCAGAUCUGGAGGAUUGCUGGCUGGUCUGGUCCAGUUCUGACAGUAGAGACAACACAGUCUGUUAUUCUGGGUUGAGUGUUCUUGUUGAAGAUCAGUGUACAGUGAGGGAUGAAGGCAGACAAAGAUCCUCCUGUUUCCUCCAUGUCACAGUUCAAGUUCAUUUUGAAGACUUUGAUUGAUCCGAGCGCUGAAGAGGAACAGGAAACGAGGAGUAGAGAGUGAGGGAGGACUUACAGCAAAGGAUCAUGGGAGUCCAACCAGCAACUGCUGCAACAAGGACUCCACCUUCUGAUCACCUGAACCUCUAAUCCAAACCAGUGCUCCAUCACAUUUGAUGUCUUGUCUGUUAUUUUACAUGGAGGGUCAGAGCAGACCAGAUCAUGAGCUCUGACAGACUGGAUCUGGUCCAAAGGUCUCCUGUUGGAGUUCUCUAAGCUCCAUAUUUUAAACCUGAACACCUGAAGUUUGAUUAUUAAUUAUUUUUAUCUUCAUUCUCUUUCCUUUUUUCAGAUUGUAUAAAUGCAGUUUGUCAGAGAUCAGCUGUUCUUCUCUGGCCUCAGCUCUGAAGUCCAACCCCUCCCAUCUGAGACAUCUGGACCUGAGCUUAAACGAUCUGCAGGAUUCAGGAGUGAAGCUUCUGUGUGACUUUCUGCAGAGUCCAAACUGUAAACUGGAGACUCUAGAGUGAGACUUUUUCCCUCCAUUCAAACAUGAUCAUGAUUUGUUUGUGAUGAUGACACUAAACUGCUGACUCAGGACUGAAAUACUGACCCAGACUGAACACCUUCAGUCCAGAGUAGAUUUUCUGCAUCAGUGGAUUAUUUGAUUGACUCCAGUUAGAUCACUGCUGAGCUCCAGUGAAUUAAAACCUGAACCCAAGAGGAAAACUCUUUGUAGAGUUCAUAGUGAGAAGCACAUUCAGACAGAAAACAGAAGCAGGGGGAGAUUUGUCAGAUGAGAACCAUUCAAACUUUUGUUCAGGACAAGAUCAGGGAAUAGAAAAAACUCAGAGUUUAGUUUCUGACUCUGAUGAAAGUCCAGCUCUGUUACUUUGAAUUUUGUUUUUGAAUCUUUGUGUAAAAAUCUGAAUUUUCUGGUUUAUCUGCACUUUUCUGAAGCCUUGCUGUGUUUAGACUGAAAUAUUUACCUCCCAAACACGUGAUAUUUUUUAUCUGCAUCUACAAUCAGUAAAAAAGUCUCUGAGUUUUUUAUUUCACUAUUUAAUGUGUUUUUGAAUUCACUGUUUCAAACUGACUUCCUGUUUGGUUCAGCUCUUUGGAGCGUCACUUUUCUUUGAUUCAGACUUUCCAAACCUUUCCCCUGAACUCUACAGAUUUAAGACAUCAGGUUUCAAACUGGAUCAUUUUUGUCUAAAAUCUCAUUAUUUCCUCUUUAUUUAGGUUGUGGCGCUGCAGUUUGACGAAGAUCAGCUGUUCUUCUCUGGCCUCAGCUCUGAAGUCCAACCCCUCCCAUCUGAGACAUCUGGACCUGACUGAAAACAAUCUGCAAGAUUCAGGAGAGAAGCUGCUGUGUGAUCUUCAGAAGAGUCCAGACUACAUACUGGAGUAUCUGCUGUCAGUCUAGAGUUGGAGUUAGUCUGUGCUGAUCUCUCCUGUUCCUCUCCACACAGUAUCACAGCAGAUAUUCAGUAUUUCCUGCUGACUCUUCGACCCUCUCAGAGGAUUAUCUCUUUAGUGAAGCUGUGAGAACAGAAAUCAUCAAACCAGGAGUGUAAGAGUGUCAGUGAUGAAAAAAGUGUCUCCUCGUCUCUAUAUUUCAGAUCAAAUGUAGAAAUGAGACAUAAUGAAACAGAAAUGUUCAGUUUCUGCUCUGAAGUCCAGUUUAUAGUUCUCUGUAUUCAACACAGACUUUAUUUCUCUGCUAACUUGUUGAUUUUGAGCUCUAAGUCUGAAAACAGACAGCUGUUCUUUAUACUUGUUAUUUUCACAGCAGGUUUGUUCGAUCAGCUUUAACACAUUUGACAGGAAUGAUUUCUUUAUUUUGAUGAUGUUGGUUUAUUUGUGAGGAAACCUGCUGCUUUACACCAUCACUUCUGGUCUGAGCAGGACUGAGACCUGCUGGUCUGUAAACUGGAUGUUCUUCAGUCCAGCUGAUGAAGUGAGUCUCAGAGUGGAAACACUGAUCGUCUUUUUUUCUCUCCUCAGAUGGUGAUAACAUCCGUCAGAGUGAUUAAGAAGAGGAUCGUGUGUUUCCUGACGAUCAGAGAGGUGGAGGCAGCAGCAGUGAGGGUGAGGUGAGUCUCUGACUGAGAGACUGACUGACCAAUCACAGCGGGCGGAGAGGACUCUGGGAGCUGCACUUUGACCUGCUCUGAGAUCAGCUCAGGACCUGGACUCUGGAUAUUUGAUAUUUUCCCUCAUACUCUGGGAUCAAACAGUCUGAACAGGUUUGUUUUGUUGAUGGAAACAUGAUCAUAAAUUUACACUUUGAUUGGAUUACUUUUUUUUACCAUGAUACAGCGCCACCCAGUGGAAAUAUAAAGAGGUGGAGUUGAUUUAUUCCCUCAUAUUUCUGUAGCAGGAGUUGAUACCAUGUGUGAGAGUAGAUCACUCAGAAGUUCAGAUAAAACCCAAAGGUUUUUUCUUUCCUCUGCACCGUUAGAGACCGAAUAUAAACUGAAGGGAGAGGAAGAGAAGUGAGGAGAGAUGGAGGUGAAGGGAGGAGGAGGAGGACAGGGUUUGGGGUUUUAACAAAAAUCUGAAGCUUUAUUCUUUCACUUGAUUAUUUUUAUUCAUCCGUUUUCUUCUUCAUUUUCUGAAAUUAUGGUAAAUAUUGACUGGAGGUAAAUUUAUUUUAUUUAAUAUUAUUAGACACUAUUUUCCGUCUCUUUACAUGUUUUUGUUCUCAUAUCAUCUUUGUGCUCAUCAAUAAUCGAUUCCCUCCAGUUUGAACAAAUACAAUUAUUAAACCAUAAAUGAGACCUGAGAGUAAAAUUAAAAUGUGUGAAAUAUAAUCAGUCAAAAGAAAGAUUCUUGAACAAAAACAAAAACAUUAUUUUUACUUUAUUAUGAUGGAGAAGUUUUCCUCUGACAGACAAAAAUAACCGUAUUGACUGGAGUCUGGAAAAAGUGAGAUCAGCAUCUAUUCAGGGUGAAGUCACUAACGUGGUCGAUGCUGUUUUAUAAACUCAGUGUUGUUGAUUACAAUCUCAGCUUCAUAAACUGAUGCUACAGCUCAUGUCACAGUCUGCUCACACCACAGAAACAUUAAACAUAGAACUAUUGUGAACAGAUUUGUCCUCUUCAGCUAAUCUACUAUCAAUAGAUCUGUGCUCUGUCUGUGUAACACUAUGUUGGUUCUUCAUUUACACCAGAUCAUUUUUUAUUUCAUUUCACUGUAACAAUGUCAUUUAAAGAUAAUAAAAACUUUAUUUGAACCAAAACAUGUUAAAAACGUCAACUCGGCUCGUUUCAUUCACUGUGUGCAAUUGAUUAUUAUUAUUUUUCAUUCAAACAGAAACUAGAUUUGGUCUUUAAAAAGUCCUCAAAGUGAGUCUGAAAAGUAGAGGAAGGUUUUCUCAUCAGGGUGCAGCACAGUUGUUUCCUGUGUUUUCAUUUGUGAUAUUCUCUCUAAGGUGUGUUAUUGUUCAUUUAAAGUAUGUGGAGGACAAAUCCACACAUCUAACAAAAAAAGGUAAAAUAUAAAGAUAGAUUUCUGCAUGACAUCAACGAUAUCCUAGAUUUAGUUUUCUAAGCAACAGGUGGUCGUCUUUUAUCGGGGGUACUUUGAUCCAGAAAUCUGAAAAGGGGUUACUAAAGCAAAAGAAGAAAAACCAGAGACUGUAUAUAGAAUGGACAGAGUCUGCCUCCUCGCUGGGUGAAGCCACUCUGAGAACAGCACCCUCUGUUGAUGGGCUGCAGUAUAGGUCAUAAAUCCCGCCUGCGCCAGCAAAGCUUAUGGAGCUGUGGACGAACUUUAGAAAUUUAUUACACAGAACAUAAUUUUUUCUCCCUCCUGGUUGUGAUGUUGACAUGUAGUUAUUGUCAGACUGGUUUGUGCUCAAGUCCUCUUUUUUCUGUACAGCUCAAUUUUUAAAAGUUAUUAGGGGGUUCAUGUUUGCUAUGACGUUUCACAGCCAUAAGGAAUAACCAAUCGGAGCCUAGCACUUCUAGCCAAUCAGAUGCGAAGGAGGGUGGGACCUUCCCCUACCAUCCCACGAAAAAAAAAAAACAAACACGUCCGGGUUUGCCGACCUUUAUUUCUGAGCCCCAGAUAACAGGACAGAGAUACCUAAAGCAUACAACGUGAACUUGUGUUAUCACUUCAACAUCUAACUAAAUAUAUGUUGGACAGUGAUCUUUGUAAAGUGAGGUGAAGGAGCAGUUUGUGUAGUGACAACACAAUCACACUGUGUGCAAAAAUAAAAACCUGUUCAACCAAAUCUUCACAUUUAUUGGGGUAUGAGAAGAGGAGCGCUCAUCUGAAGUUUGUUGGUUUGACCAGCAGGUGGAGCUGCUGCAUUAACAAUAAACUGAGACUCAACCAAACAAACAAGUUCCUGUUUUAGUGAACUUUGAAUUUGGACUCAGGAGAGGAAGAUGGUUGUCAAGAAUACUGAACUUAAAAGAUGAUGAAUAACGGUCAGUAAAUGAGGAGAAGAAUCUGUGAUCUGGUGGUUUAGGUUUCAGUGAAAACAGUCAGAGUGAAAGUGAAAGUAUGUGAGCUGAAAAACAGACUCCAUUUUGAGAAAAGAAGAGAGAGGAGAGGACGAGGAGACAGGGUGAGUGUUUACUCUGUUUUAGUUUUAAUGUCAAACUCUUUAUCUGUUUUAUCUGUUAAUGAAAAAAUGAUUUACUGACUAAAACACUUAAAAACUGUAAAACAAAGAAACCUGAGCAGACAAAGAGCUGGAUCAGUUCUUCAUACAGGAAACUGUGUAACUGCAGUUCUUCCUCCUCUUUGUUUAGACUUGUCUUUUUGGUAAAAAUAUGAAUCAGAAUCUUUUUAGCGUCUCAUUUCAAAUUUAAUCCAGUCUCCUUAAGUUUUUUUCUGAGAGUUCAGGGACCUCACAGCUGAUUUUGUUUUGACCAUGAAUCAGACAAGGAUCAGAGAGAGGCCCUGCAGGGUGGGGAGACAUCAGAAGUUCUUGGAUAUUAAACCUGUAUAACUCUUAAAGAGGGGGAUGAAGCUGUUUUUAGACUCUGUACUUCCUUUCUGAUUCCUCUUUUAUUUCUGAACUCUCUCUUCCUGUUUGUGUCUCACCUGUUUGUCUUCUUUGUCCUCAGGUUGUAUAACUCGGUUUCAGCCUCCAUAAAUUUGCACAACAGAAGAUGGAGAAGAUGAGUGUUGGUGUCGAGGAAGAGGAGGGCAGAGCAGAGUCUGAUAUGUUUGACUGUCUGUCUAUGAAGAGUGACCGGUCUAAAGGUUUUGAUAUAAACUUCAGUAAAGAACCAGGACCCCCAGAGCAGGACAGAACAAAGUCUGUUAUCUCCAGCUGUCUGUCUAUGAAGAGUGACCGGUCUAAAGAUCCUCCACCAAAAUUCAGUGAAGAACCAGGACCCUCAGAUUCACAGUAAGAGAAACACUUUUCAAUCACCAAACUCUCAAACAACCUCUGACGUUUCAAAUACAAAACUUUAAAUCCUGACCCCUCUGUUUUCUCCUCUGUUCUCAAAACACUGAUUUUCCUCUUGAACCUGCCAACCUGGAUAAAAUUCAAUUCAAUCCAACUUUAUUUAUAAAGCCCAUUUCAUGCAAAAGGCAGACUCAAUGUUCUUCACAACAGGUGUACAUAGUUAAAAACAGUUAUACAAAAAUCUAUUAGAAAUCAAUUUAAGAGUGUAAGUGCAAGUCAACCAACUUCACCGCGAAUGCUACAGAAAUCUGUUUUUAAAGAUGGCUACUGAUGUGUCUAACUGUGUCAGGCAGGGUGUUCCAUUUUUGUGGGGCAUAAACACUCAAAGCUGCCUCCCCUUAUUUGGAUCUGGUGUGAGGGAUGAGUAAGUUGCCACUGCCUGUUGACCGAAGUGUUCUUGCUGGGGUGUAGGUGAUGAGCAUAUCUGUGAUGUACUGAGGUGCAAGGCCAUGUAGUGCUUUGUAAACCAGGAGGAGUAUUUUGAAAUCGAUUCUUGUCCUAACGGGUAACCAAUGUACAGAUUUGAGAACGGGUGUGAUGUGUUGAUAUUUUUUGGUACCAGUGAGAAUUCAUGCAGCUGCAUUUUGAAUUAACUGUAACCUCUGAAGACUUGAUUUUGGGAGUCCAGUGAAUAAACUGUUACAGUAAUCCAGUUUACUUCUUAUAAAUGCAUGGAUGAAUUUUUCUAAGUCUGAUUUUGACAGAAAGCCCCUCAGUUUGGAGAUAUUUUUGAGAUGAUAGAAAGAUGAUCUUGUAAUGGAUAAAAGGCUGGUAAAGAAAAACUCACUGAGCACAGAUUUACUUAUUAUUCUUGAUGUUGAUAAAAAUGAAGGUCGUAUAAAACAGCAUUUGAAAAGGAUUCUGACUUCUUGUAUUUUCUGAUUUGGUUCCUGUGUUUGGGACGUUUUGAGCCUGUUAGUCUUUGGACUGUGGUGUAUAGACCCCAGAAAACAGUCUGUGGGUCACAAAAUACCAGAAGACCAAUGAAGAAAUAAAUCCUGAAAAAUAAAAACAUAAUUCAGAGCAUCUGUCUGUUAUUAGACCUUUAGAUCUGAUUGGUCAAAAAAAAAGUUUUAAACUGUCAGAGAAAAUCUCUCUACCUUCAAAAAUCACAGUUUAGUUUUUUCUCUUGUCACGACACUUUCAGGCAGCAGCAGCUGAAUAUUUUACAGGAGAUUGUUUUAUGUUAGAGAAAAGAGAAACUCUGGUUUAAUAAAUGUUUCUUAUUCUGUAUCUUUCAAACAUGAAAUAAUAAAGAAAAUAAAUGUUCUUUAUUUCCACAGAGAGACACAGAGAUGUGACUCUGUGGAGGAGCAGCUGUCCAAAUGUUCUUUAUGUCAGGAUGUCCUGAAGGAUCCAGUCUCUACCCGCUGUGGACACAGGUUCUGCAGACAGUGCCUCGCCUCAUUCAGGGACCAGUCUACUUCUUCAGGACACACCUCCUGUCCUCAGUGUGGAAAAAGAACCAGAACAGUUCUUGUUCUUCAGACAGACAGCCAGUCCAGCUCUGAUCGAAGUAAGUCUGAACACCUUUAAACCCUAAAUUAUACAAUUUCUGCCUGAAUUAUUUUGCUUAUUUUAGCCAUAAAAUUGGCAGAAAAUGUCCUAUGAGUGAGUGCUUUUUUAUUCAUUGGCUUUCAACCCUGCAUGAGACUCGGCUCCUGUUUUAGUGUUUUAUGUUUUUUUUUUUUUUUUUAUGUCUAUGCUUUUUUGUCUAUUUAUAUACAGCACUUUGGUUGGCUGUGGUUGUUUUAAAGUGCUUUACAAAUAAAGUUGAGUUUUACCCAUUUUUCCAGAGCACUUAAAACUUUCAAUAUCUGGCUGUCAUUUACGAUUUACUGUCUGUUAAAAGAGUGCUUUAACAUUGUAAGAUAAAGAAAAACACAAAAACGGAAUACAAUUUUUUUUGAGUUUUAAUGAGAAAAAAACAGAAAAUAUUCAUGAAAAACAGAUUGUUCAUUUGAAAUAAAAAAAUUAAAGAGUAUCAAACAUAUUUACAGCAAAAACUUUGGAGUGCUGUCUCUCCAAGUGCAAAAACAGGCUAACUAAAUACAACUGUGUCCAGGCGUUUCUCCUCUCUCACUCAGAGGUCUUUGUGAAACUGUCAGAAGCUGUUCCUUUCUGUCUGCAGACACAGACCCACAUCACACCCCUCACACUUCCAGACAGUUCUCCUUAUGACAAAGUUUGCAGCGUCGUCUCCUCAUGCUAGUUCUUUUAGACUUCAUCUGCCCAUGGCUUGUUUGGGCACGUAGCUAUACUCUACUAUAAACGGUGAGCAUUUCUGCCAAGUGGAUGUAAUUCUCGGGGGGCAUGUGUUUCUCGGCAACACAUCAACGGCUGCAAAUGAGAAACCAACAAGAGAAAACCGCCGAAGAUGAAAACUUUUUAGUAAAAAGAAAAGCAACGUCACUUACCAUUGAAGACGAAUACUCGUUGAUUAAAAGAAAAGCAACGUCACUUACCAUUGAAGAUGAAUAUUCGUUGAUUAAAAGAAAAGCCACGUCACUUAUCUGUAAUUAUUUCGGUAACAAAAAGGAUGACGUCACCUAACACCUGUUCUGUGUCGGCAGUGUCUUUCAUCUGUUUCCACAAUAACGUCCCAGCAGAACAAUAAAAACUAAAAAUAUCUCUAAGACAGACAGAAGCCAUUCUACUAACAUUCACUAAAAGAGGGAAGAUCAGUGCAGGUUAACAGAGAGCCCUUCAUUCAUCCAGAAACCCACUCAGAAAAUCAACCAGUCAAACUUUACCUUUCUCUGUCUGAAGUUUCUCUGAAAGCUUCUCCAUCGGUCCCAAAGUCGUCUGUAAACCUCAGUGGAGGUUUUCUCACUCAGGAAGGAUUUAUCACAGACAUUUUCCUCUGAAAUAAUCACUUUUUUUUUGGUAAUUUUUCUCUCUUUUUGCUCCGUUUCUCUGCUCUGUUGUUUGUCUAUCUACUGCUUUCUUUGUGAGGGGGAGAGGGGACGGAGAGACAGAUUUCCUCUCUAAACAGCAGGAGUGAAAUUACCGUAAUAACCGUUUAUUGGCCGUGUGGCGCAACUUCUCACUUUUCAGAAACCGUUGGAGAUUUUUUUUUGAUAGAACAAACUAUCCCAAAGUUACGGUAAUUUAAAGAGCGCCUGUAUAAAGGUGUCGGCGCCGACGGACUGUGAGGAAAAGUCUGUGUGGAUGAAAACUCAGCUGACUGAUUUUCACAAAGACGUUUCAGUGUUGAGAAGUUUGGUUCAUUUUAUUUUUCUUCUCUUUCAGAAGAUGGCCUCCCGCAGGAGGUUUUAGAUGAACAUAAGAUAAGUCUGAAGAGGAGAUGUGAACGUGUGAAUGAAGGAAGUGAUGUAACAGGAAGUAGUCAAACCCUCCUCAACAGGAUCUUCACUGAGCUCUACAUCACAGAGGGACUGAGUGAAGAGGUGAACACCCAACAUGAGGUGAGACAGCUGGAGACUACUUCAAAGAUGAAGACCCUCCAUGACACGCCCAUCAGGUGUCAUGAGAUCUUUAAAACCUUACCUGACCAACAGAAGAAGCUCAUCAGAGUGGUUCUGACCAACGGCGUGGCUGGUGUUGGAAAAACCUUCUCAGUGCAGAAGUUCACUCUGGACUGGGCAGAGGGUUUGGAGAACCAAGACCUCCAUCUGGUGGUCCUGCUUUCAUUCAGGGAGCUGAACCUGAUCAGAGAUGAGCGCUUCAGUCUUCUGAGUCUGCUCCAUGUUUUCCAUCCAACCCUAGAGAAGGUCACAGCAGAGACGCUGGCUGUCUGUAAACUUCUGUUCAUCUUUGACGGUCUGGAUGAAAGCAGACUGUCUCUGGAUUUCACAGACUCUGAGGUGGUGUCUGACGUCACACAGAAGUCUUCACUGAACGUUCUGAUAACAAACCUCAUCAAGGGGAACCUGCUCCCCUCAGCUCUCAUCUGGAUAACUUCUCGACCUGCAGCAGCCAAUCAGAUCCCUCCUUCACAUGUGGACAGGGUAACAGAAGUACGAGGCUUCACUGACGACCAGAAGGACGAGUACUUCAAGAAGAGGUUCAGAGAUGAAGAUCUGUCCAGAAGAAUCAUCUCACACAUCAAGUCCUCCAGGAGCCUCCACAUCAUGUGUCAGAUCCCGGUCUUCUGCUGGAUCACUGCGACAGUUCUGGAGGACAUGAUGAGCAGAGAGCAGAGAGGAGAGCUGCCCAAGACCCUGACUGACAUGUACUCACACUUCCUGCUGGUCCAGACUCAGAGGAAGAAGCAGAAGUAUGAAGGAGGACAUGAGACAAGUCCUCAGGCACUGAUGGAUGCUGACAGUGACGUCCUCCUGAAGCUGGGGAGGCUGGCCUUUGAACAUCUGAAGAAAGGAAACAUCAUGUUCUACCAAGAAGACCUGGAGCGGUGUGGUCUGGAUGUCUCAGAGGCCUCGGUCUACUCAGGAGUUUGUACAGAGAUCUUCAGAAGAGAGAGUGUGAUCUUCCAGAAAACUGUUUACUGUUUUGUUCAUCUGAGCGUUCAGGAGUUUCUGUCUGCAGUCUACAUGAUCCACAGUUUCACAAACAGGAACACAGAAGCUCUGAAGACUUUCCUAAGAAGCAACGAUGAUGAAGAUAAAAUGUCUUCUUCAGAGAUGGUUGACAGAUUUUUUCAAAACCUGGAUUAUUUUUUCUCAUCUCAGGAUGUCUUCCUGAAGAGUGUCGUGGAGAACUCCCUUCUCAGUAAAAACGGUCACCUGGACCUGUUUGUUCGCUUCCUUCAUGGACUCUCUGUGGAGUCAAACCAGAGACUCUUAGGAGGUCUGCUGGGUCACACAGACAACAGUCCAGAAAUGAUCCAAACAGUCAUCAAGAACCUGAAGGAGAUGAACAGAGAAGAUAUCUCUCCUGACAGAAGCAUCAACAUCUUCCACUGUCUGAUGGAGAUGAACGAUCUGUCGGUUCAUCAGGAGAUUCAAGAGUUCCUGAAGACAAAGAACAUAUCAGAGAAGAAACUCUCAGAGAUCCAAUGCUCUGCUCUGGCCUACAUGCUGCAGAUGUCAGAGGAGGUUCUGGAUGAGUUAGACUUACAGAAGUAUAAAACAUCAGACCAGGGACGACUGAGACUGAUCCCAGCUGUGAGGAACUGCAGAAAGGCUGAGUAAGUCCAGGUUUUAUUCUCAGAAUAGUGUAAAUGAUCCCUGUAGUUCUUCUAAUGUCCACGUUACUGAUGAUGUUCUUCUUCAAAUAGAAAUCCACUCAAAUAUCAGGGAGGGGGUUUCUUCAGCAAAAACAUGAUCCUGGUGUCUAAAGUCCUGUUAGUCCAGGAUGAGGUCUACCUGUGGACCCCUGAGAACUUGUCCUAAUUGUGGAGGACCUCUUUGUUUUGAAUCGUGUCUGUAAUGAAUAAAGUGGAACUUUGAGGACAAAUCAGCGACCAUAUCUGAGGACACACAGAGGUCUUCUGAUGAUGGUAUCAGUCCAGAUCAGGUGAACUUGAGUUUUAAGAAGGUGUCUGCAGCUUCUUCCUGCUGGUUUUCAGGUUGGAAAUGAUGAAUCAGUUGUAAAUGAGGGUGUUGACAGCAUUGAUGGUGAAAAUAGAACUGGAUCAUUUUCUACACAGUGGCAGAACUGUCUAACCUUCAAAGAAAUGUUUUUAUCUGAACCAAACAGAGAAAAAGGAGCUGCUGUGAUUUAGUGAGUCGUCUUCUGAUUGGUCAACAGUCAGUGCCUUACAUUAUAGCAGGAUGUCAACACUAAACACUGAGAGGAGCAUGAGUCAUGGAGUCAUUUGUCUUGAACGUCUGAACAGUUUUUUUUUUCUUCUAAACUUGGACUUCCUGUCUUCUCUCAUGGCUGUGGUCCUGAUAUUAGUAUCUGUCUGGUUAAAAACAGGCCGUCUGUCAAACCAAAGAUCAUGUUUGAGUUGUUUUUGGGGAAGAGAAACAUCAAAUAACCCUUUAAUAAAAUAUUGUUUGAUAUUCAUUUUGUCACAGAUUUAAUAACUGUGGACUCUCAGAGACUCACUGUGAAGUUGUGGCCUCAGCUCUGAAGUCCAACCCCUCCCAUCUGAGACAUCUGAACCUGAGAAACAACAGACUGCAGGAUUCAGGAGUGAAGCUUCUCUCUGCAGGACUGGAGAGUCCAAACUGCAGACUGGAGACUCUGAGGUGAGACACCAUUUCCUUCCGAUCUAACAAUAAGAUGUGACAGCUGCUGCCUUAGAUUUUUCUCUGUGGUUUUUCCAUCAACUUUGGUCGAGCAGUUUGAAUUUGUCGUUGUAAAACUUCAACACAGGAAGAAAAAUCCGACAUUUCAGAGUCGACUUUGAGUAGAACGAUGGAUGUAGAAAGGAAGCAGGAGAAAAUCAGUCCCACAAAUAUUAUACAUGCUUGUAGAGGGCAGGAGCAGCACAGACUAAAGGCUGAUAUUGAACUGAUCCACAGUUAAUGUGAUCACUAAUGAAUGAAUGAAGUGUCAGAGAAAUGAUGAGCUGCAGAUUGAAACCUGAAGAACAAAGUUAAUCCAACUCUGGAUAUUUCAUUUGGAAACUCUUGAAAACUUGAAUUUCUUCUUUGCUCAGUCGUGUUCAAAUGUAAAAACCAGAUCCAGAUUUUUCUGCAGUUUUCACUUCAGUUUGUUGAACAUGAACAUCAUCUUGUCCAGCUGGUCCAUAAAAACCUCUCUGAUCAAUGAUCUGUUGGUUUAUUUAAGAGUAGUUUGUCAGUUGUUGACAGCAGACGGACAGACCCCUGAAUAAACUCCUGACUGUUUUCAUCUUCAUGAAGAAUUCAGGACUACAAAAGAACCUUUGAGAUUUCUCACAGGAGUUUCUCAGGAUCUCACUAAAGUUUUCUGUUUCUGUAAAAUUUUCUCGACUGAUAAAUUCCUCUGGAUCUUCAAAAAGUUUAGAGAGGAUUUUACAAAGUUCCUGAAGAUCAACUCUGAAAAAGUUCUUCUUCCGUGUCCUUCAGGGUUCAAGAACAUUGAAUCAUUAAAAACAGGAACAGUUUCUUCAGAGGUUACAUGAUUUUUUUCUUUUUUCAGACUGUGACAGGUGUUUAUUAGUCUUUUUGACUCAUUACAAUAAUGAGGAUAAAGUCAUGGACUAAACUUGGGCUCCCAGUUUCCUUGUUGUUGUUUCUUCAGCUAGCAUCAUUGUUUUCAUCUCAGUUAUUAAAGUAAUAAUGAUGCUUCAUAAAUUCAGAGUCACAAAAAAACACCAAACAAACCAAAUCUGAAAAAAAUUCACUUUUUCAUCAAAUGAGUUUAAUCGGUCAGAACAUGAGGUUUGAGUUUUCAUGAGGAGGAAACGAGAAAGAUCUGCUCUGACAGUUAGAAACACAGACACCUGAAUUUACACUGACAGACAGAGAGACACAGACAGAGACACAGACAGACACAGACAGAGACACACAAACACAGACUAACAGAGAUGUUCCUCUUCGUCUCUUUGCUGUGAUGACUGAAGUCACAAAAACAAAGUUUUCUUCGUCACUUUUAUGAUUGAACCAAAGAAGUUAAAGAACCAAACUCUCAGAUUUUGUUCUUCUCAAUUUUAUUUGAACCAUUUAGAUUUUUCUCCUGAUCAAUAUUCAAUGAUCAGAUUGAUCAGGUUCCUGUUUUGGCUCCACUGCCUCUUUUCUGCAGCUCAAUAACUGCUCAUAUGGUUUGAAAGGUUCCUGCAGUAAAACCCGAUUAGAGAGUGGACUAAAUGAAAUGUGAGUGAACUCAGCCAUCAGUGAAUCAAUGACAAAGUGAGAGGAAGAGUGGAUCUGUCUGCUGUCUGACCUUGUUGAUCCUGAUGAAGGUGAGGGAGAAGAGUAAAGCAGUAAAGGUGAUGUUGUUGCAGACAGAGUCAGCUGACCUGUCUCAUCAGAGUCUCAUCCAUUCUCUGUUUGGCAGAGCACUGAUGUUAGAGUCUGAGAGCACAUUCAGGUUCAGCUUCACAUGGGCUGGAUCUGCUCAAUACAAACUCUUGAGACCAGCCUGGUUGAGGGAGGUGGGCUCAGUGUCCUGGGUGACUCUCUCUGAGCUCUUCUUGGUUGAGAGUAUUUCUGGUUUGUCUCUGACUUCCAUGAACUCAGAUCUGGAGGAUUGCUGGCUGGUCCGGUCCAGUUCUGACAGUAGAGACAACACAGUCUGUUAUUCUGGGUUGAGUGUUCUUGUUGAAGAUCAGUGUACAGUGAGGGAUGAAGGCAGACAAAGAUCCUCCUGUUUCCUCCAUGUCACAGUUCAAGUUCAUUUUGAAGACUUUGAUUGAUCCGAGCGCUGAAGAGGAACAGGAAACGAGGAGUAGAGAGUGAGGGAGGACUUACAGCAAAGGAUCAUGGGAGUCCAACCAGCAACUGCUGCAACAAGGACUCCACCUUCUGAUCACAUGAACCUCUAAUCCAAACCAGUGCUCCAUCACAUUUGAUGUCUUGUCUGUUAUUUUACAUGGAGGGUCAGAGCAGACCAGAUCAUGAGCUCUGACAGACUGGAUCUGGUCCAAAGGUCUCCUGUUGGAGUUCUCUAAGCUCCAUAUUUUAAACCUGAACACCUGAAGUUUGAUUAUUAAUUAUUUUUAUCUUCAUUCUCUUUCCUUUUUUCAGAUUGUAUAAAUGCAGUUUGUCAGAGAUCAGCUGUUCUUCUCUGGCCUCAGCUCUGAAGUCCAACCCCUCCCAUCUGAGAUAUCUGGACCUGAGUCACAACAAGCUGCAGGAUUCAGGAGUGAAGCUUCUCUCUGCAGGACUGGAGAGUCCAAACUGUAAACUGGAGACUCUGAGGUGAGACACCAUUUCCUUCUGAUCUAACAAUAAGAUGUGACAGCUGCUGCCUUAGAUUUUUCUCUGUGGUUUUUCCAUCAACUUUGGUCGAGCAGUUUGAAUUUGUCGUUGUAAAACUUCAACACAGGAAGAAAAAUCCGACAUUUCAGAGUCGACUUUGAGUAGAACGAUGGAUGUAGAAAGGAAGCAGGAGAAAAUCAGUCCCACAAAUAUUACACAUGCUUGUAGAGGGCAGGAGCAGCACAGACUAAAGGCUGAUACUGAACUGAUCCACAGUUAAUGUGAUCACUAAUGAAUGAAGUGUCAGAGAAAUGAUGAGCUGCAGAUUGAAACCUGAAGAACAAAGUUAAUCCAACUCUGGAUAUUUCAUUUGGAAACUCUUGAAAACUUGAAUUUCUUCUUUGCUCAGUCGUGUUCAAAUGUAAAAACCAGAUCCAGAUUUGUCUGCAGUUUUCACUUCAGUUUGUUGAACAUGAACAUCAUCUUGUCCAGCUGGUCCAUAAAAACCUCUCUGAUCAAUGAUCUGUUGGUUUAUUUAAGAGUAGUUUGGCAGUUGUUGACAGCAGACGGACAGACCCCUGAAUAAACUCCUGACUAUUUUCAUCUUCAUGAAGAAUUCAGGACUACAAAAGAACCUUUGAGAUUUCUCACAGGAGUUUCUCAGGAUCUCACUAAAGUUUUCUGUUUCUGUAAAAUUUUCUCGACUGAUAAAUUCCUCUGGAUCUUCAAAAAGUUUAGAGAGGAUUUUACAAAGUUCCUGAAGAUCAACUCUGAAAAAGUUCUUCUUCCGUGUCCUUCAGGGUUCAAGAACAUUGAAUCAUUAAAAACAGGAACAGUUUCUUCAGAGGUUACAUGAUUUUUUUCUUUUUUCAGACUGUGACAGGUGUUUAUUAGUCUUUUUGACUCAUUACAAUAAUGAGGAUAAAGUCAUGGACUAAACUUGGGCUCCCAGUUUCCUUGUUGUUGUUUCUUCAGCUAGCAUCAUUGUUUUCAUCUCAGUUAUUAAAGUAAUAAUGAUGCUUCAUAAAUUCAGAGUCACAAAAAAACACCAAACAAACCAAAUCUGAAAAAAAUUCACUUCUUCAUCAAAUGAGUUUAAUCGGUCAGAACAUGAGGUUUGAGUUUUCAUGAGGAGGAAACGAGAAAGAUCUGCUCUGACAGUGAGAAACACAGACGCCUGAAUCUACACUGACAGACAGACAAACACAGACAGAGAGACAGACACACAAACACAGACACACAGAGAUUUUCCUCUUUGUCUCUUUGCUGUGAUGACUGAAGUCACAAAAACAAAGUUUUCUUCGUCACUUUUAUGAUUGAACCAAAGAAGUUAAAGAACCAAACUCUCAGAUUUUGUUCUUCUCAAUUUUAUUUGAACCAUUUAGAUUUUUCUCCUGAUCAAUAUUCAAUGAUCAGAUUGAUCAGGUUCCUGUUUUGGCUCCACUGCCUCUUUUCUGCAGCUCAAUAACUGCUCAUAUGGUUUGAAAGGUUCCUGCAGUAAAACCCGAUUAGAGAGUGGACUAAAUGAAAUGUGAGUGAACUCAGCCAUCAGUGAAUCAAUGACAAAGUGAGAGGAAGAGUGGAUCUGUCUGCUGUCUGACCUUGUUGAUCCUGAUGAAGGUGAGGGAGAAGAGUAAAGCAGUAAAGGUGAUGUUGUUGCAGACAGAGUCAGCUGACCUGUCUCAUCAGAGUCUCAUCCAUUCUCUGUUUAGCAGAGCGCUGAUGUUACAGUCUGAGAGCACAUUCAGGUUCAGCUUCACAUGGGCUGGAUCUGCUCAAUACAAACUCUUGAGACCAGCCUGGUUGAGGGAGGUGGGCUCAGUGUCCUGGGUGACUCUCUCUGAGCUCUUCUUGGUUGAGAGUCUUUCUGGUUUGUCUCUGACUUCCAUGAACUCAGAUCUGGAGGAUUGCUGGCUGGUCCGGUCCAGUUCUGACAGUAGAGACAACACAGUCAGUUAUUCUGGGUUGAGUGUUCUUGUUGAAGAUCAGUGUACAGUGAGGGAUGAAGGCAGACAAAGAUCCUCCUGUUUCCUCCAUGUCACAGUUCAAGUUCAUUUUGAAGACUUUGAUUGAUCCGAGCGCUGAAGAGGAACAGGAAACGAGGAGUAGAGAGUGAGGGAGGACUUACAGCAAAGGAUCAUGGGAGUCCAACCAGAAACUGCUGCAACAAGGACUCCACCUUCUGAUCACCUGAACCUCUAAUCCAAACCAGUGCUCCAUCACAUUUGAUGUCUUGUCUGUUAUUUUACAUGGAGGGUCAGAGCAGACCAGAUCAUGAGCUCUGACAGACUGGAUCUGGUCCAAAGGUCUCCUGUUGGAGUUCUCGAAGCUCCAUAUUUUAAUCCUGAACACCUGAAGUUUGAUUAUUAAUUAUUUUUAUCUUCAUUCUCUUUCCUUUUUUCAGAUUGUAUAAAUGCAGUUUGUCAGAGAUCAGCUGUUCUUCUCUGGCCUCAGCUCUGAAGUCCAACCCCUCCCAUCUGAGACAUCUGAACCUGAGAAACAACACUCUGCAGGAUUCAGGAGUGAAGCUUCUCUCUGCAGGACUGCAGAGACCAAACUGCAGACUGGAGACUCUGAAGUGAGACACCAUUUCCUUCUGAUCUAACAAUAAGAUGUGACAGCUGCUGCCUUAGAUUUUUCUCUGUGGUUUUUCCAUCAACUUUGGUCGAGCAGUUUGAAUUUGUCGUUGUAAAACUUCAACACAGGAAGAAAAAUCCGACAUUUCAGAGUUGACUUUGAGGAGAACGAUGGAUGUAGAAAGGAAGCAGGAGAAAAUCAGUCCCACAAAUAUUACACAUGCUUGUAGAGGGCAGGAGCAGCACAGACUAAAGGCUGAUAUUGAACUGAUCCACAGUUAAUGUGAUCACUAAUGAAUGAAGUGUCAGAGAAAUGAUGAGCUGCAGAUUGAAACCUGAAGAACAAAGUUAAUCCAACUCUGGAUAUUUCAUUUGGAAACUCUUGAAAACUUGAAUUUCUUCUUUGCUCAGUCGUGUUCAAAUGUAAAAACCAGAUCCAGAUUUGUCUGCAGUUUUCACUUCAGUUUGUUGAACAUUAACAUCAUCUUGUCCAGUUGGUCCAUAAAAACCUCUCUGAUCAAUGAUCUGUUGGUUUAUUUAAGAGUAGUUUGGCAGUUGUUGACAGCAGACGGACAGACCCCUGAAUAAACUCCUGACUGUUUUCAUCUUCAUGAAGAAUUCAGGACUACAAAAGAACCUUUGAGAUUUCUCACAGGAGUUUCUCAGGAUCUCACUAAAGUUUUCUGUUUCUUUAAAAUUUUCUCGACUGAUAAAUUCCUCUGGAUCUUCAAAAAGUUUAGAGAGGAUUUUACAAAGUUCCUGAAGAUCAACUCUGAAAAAGUUCUUCUUCCGUGUCCUUCAGGGUUCAAGAACAUUGAAUCAUUAAAAACAGGAACAGUUUCUUCAGAGGUUACAUGAUUUUUUUCUUUUUUCAGACUGUGACAGGUGUUUAUUAGUCUUUUUGACUCAUUACAAUAAUGAGGAUAAAGUCAUGGACUAAACUUGGGCUCCCAGUUUCCUUGUUGUUGUUUCUUCAGCUAGCAUCAUUGUUUUCAUCUCAGUUAUUAAAGUAAUAAUGAUGCUUCAUAAAUUCAGAGUCACAAAAAAACACCAAACAAACCAAAUCUGAAAAAAAUUCACUUUUUCAUCAAAUGAGUUGAAUCGGUCAGAACAUGAGGUUUGAGUUUUCAUGAGGAGGAAACGAGAAAGAUCUGCUCUGACAGUUAGAAACACAGACGCCUGAAUCUACACUGACAGACAGACAAACACAGACAGAGAGACAGACACACAAACACAGACACACAGAGAUUUUCCUCUUUGUCUCUUUGCUGUGAUGACUGAAGUCACAAAAACAAAGUUGUAUUCGUCACUUUUAUGAUUGAACCAAAUAAGUUAAAGAACCAAACUCAUAGAUUUUCUUCUUCUCAAUAUUAUUUGAACCAUUUUGAUUUUUCUUCUGAUCAAUAUUCAAUGAUCAGAUUGAUCAGGUUCCUGUUUUGGCUCCACUGCCUCUUUUCUGCAGCUCAAUAACUGCUCAUAUGGUUUGAAAGGUUCCUGCAGUAAAACCCGAUUAGAGAGUGGACUAAAUGAAAUGUGAGUGAACUCAGCCAUCAGUGAAUCAAUGACAAAGUGAGAGUAAGAGUGGAUCUGUCUGCUGUCUGACCUUGUUGAGCCUGAUGAAGGUGAGGGAGAAGAGUAAAGCAGUAAAGGUGAUGUUGUUGCAGACAGAGUCAGCUGACCUGUCUCAUCAGAGUCUCAUCCAUUCUCUGUUUGGCAGAGCACUGAUGUUAGAGUCUGAGAGCACAUUCAGGUUCAGCUUCACAUGGGCUGGAUCUGCUCAAUACAAACUCUUGAGACCAGCCUGGUUGAGGGAGGUGGGCUCAGUGUCCUGGGUGACUCUCUCUGAGCUCUUCUUGGUUGAGAGUCUUUCUGGUUUGUCUCUGACUUCCAUGAACUCAGAUCUGGAGGAUUGCUGGCUGGUCCGGUCCAGUUCUGACAGUAGAGACAACACAGUCAGUUAUUCUGGGUUGAGUGUUCUUGUUGAAGAUCAGUGUACAGUGAGGGAUGAAGGCAGACAAAGAUCCUCCUGUUUCCUCCAUGUCACACUUCAAGUUCAUUUUGAAGACUUUGAUUGAUCCGAGCGCUGAAGAGGAACAGGAAACGUGGAGUAGAGAGUGAGGGAGGACUUACAGCAAAGGAUCAUGGGAGUCCAACCAGCAACUGCUGCAACAAGGACUCCACCUUCUGAACACCUGAACCUCUAAUCCAAACCAGUGCUCCAUCACAUUUGAUGUCUUGUCUGUUAUUUUACAUGGAGGGUCAGAGCAGACCAGAUAAUGAGCUCUGACAGACUGGAUCUGGUCCAAAGGUCUCCUGUUGGAGUUCUCUAAGCUCCAUAUUUUAAACCUGAACACGUGAAGUUUGAUUAUUAAUUAUUUUUAUCUUCAUUCUCUUUCCUUUUUUCAGACUGAGGAGCUGCAGUUUGUCAGAGAUCAGCUGUUCUUCUCUGGCCUCAGCUCUGAAGUCCAACCCCGACCAUCUGAAACAUCUGGACCUGAGCAGAAACAAUCUGCAGGAUUCAGGAGUGAAGCUGCUGUGUGACUCUCUGCAGAGUCCAAACUGUAAACUGGAGACUCUAGAGUGAGACUUUUUUCCUCCAUUCAAACAUGAUCAUGAUUUGUUUGUGAUGAUGACACUAAACUGCUGACUCAGGACUGAAACACUGACCCAGACUGAACACCUUCAGUCCAGAGUAGAUUUUCUGCUUCAGUGGAUUAUUUGAUUGACUCCAGUUAGAUCACUGCUGAGCUCCAGUGAAUUAAAACCUGAACCCAAGAAGAAAACUCUUUGUAGAGUUCACAGUGAGAAGCACAUUCAGACAGAAAACAGAAGCAGGGGGAGAUUUGUCAGACGAGAACCAUUCAAACUUUAGUUCAGGACAAGAAAUGGAAAAAACUCAGAGUUUAGUUUCUGACUCUGAUGAAAGUCCAGCUCUGUUACUUUGAAUUUUGUUUUUGAAUCUUUGUGUGAAAAUCUGAAUUUUCUGGUUUAUCUGCACUUUUCUGAAGCCUUGCUGUGUUUAGACUGAAAUAUUUACCUCUCAAAGACGUGAUAUUUUUGGUUCAGCAAAGUGAAAAUAUUCUGAACAUCCUUUGUUUCCCAUCCGUCCUGAAGUCGCUGACAUUUUCUGAAAAUAUUGAGCUGCAUCUACAAUCAGUAAAAAAGUCUCUGAGUUUUUUAUUUCACUAUUUAAUGUGUUUUUGAAUUCAGUGUUUCAAACUGACUUCCUGUUUGGUUCAGCUCUUUGGAGCGUCACUUUUCUUUGAUUCAUACUUUCCAAACCUUUCCCCUGAACUCUACAGAUUUAAGACAUCAGGUUUCAAACUGGAUCAUUUUUCUCUAAAAUCUCAUUAUUUCCUCUUUAUUUAGGUUGUGGCGCUGCAGUUUGACGAAGAUCAGCUGUUCUUCUCUGGCCUCAGCUCUGAAGUCCAACCCCUCCCAUCUGAAAACUCUGUGGCUGUAUGGAAACAAUCUGCAGGGUUCAGACGUGGAGCUGCUGUGUGAUCUUCAGAAGAGUCCAGACUACAGACUGGAGGAUCUGGAGUCAGUAUAGAGUUGGAGUUAGUCUGUGCUGAUCUCUCCUGUUCCUCUCCACACAGUAUCACAGCAGAUAUUCAGUAUUUCCUGCUGACUCUUCGACCCUCUCAGAGGAUUAUCUCUUUAGUGAAGCUGUGAGAACAGAAAUCAUCAAACCAGGAGUGUAAGAGUGUCAGUGAUGAAAAAAGUGUCUCCUCGUCUCUAUAUUUCAGAUCAAAUGUAGAAAUGAGACAUAAUGAAACAGAAAUGUUCAGUUUCUGCUCUGAAGUCCAGUUUAUAGUUCUCUGUAUUCAACACAGACUUUAUUUCUCUGCUAACUUGUUGAUUUUGAGCUCUAAGUCUGAAAACAGACAGCUGUUCUUUAUACUUGUUAUUUUCACAGCAGGUUUGUUCGAUCAGCUUUAACACAUUUGACAGGAAUGAUUUCUUUAUUUUGAUGAUGUUGGUUUAUUUGUGAGGAAACCUGCUGCUUUACACCAUCACUUCUGGUCUGAGCAGGACUGAGACCUGCUGGUCUGUAAACUGGAUGUUCUUCAGUCCAGCUGAUGAAGUGAGUCUCAGAGUGGAAACACUGAACGUCUUUUUUUCUCUCCUCAGAUGGAGUUAACAUCUGUCAGAGUGAAUAAGAAGAGGAUCGUGUGUUUCCUGACGAUCAGAGAGGUGGAGGCAGCAGCAGUGAGGGUGAGGUGAGUCUCUGACUGAGAGACUGACUGACCAAUCACAGCGGGCGGAGAGGACUCUGGGAGCUGCACUUUGACCUGCUCUGAGAUCAGCUCAGGACCUGGACUCUGGAUAUUUGAUAUUUUCCCUCAUACUCUGGGAUCAAACAGUCUGAACAGGUUUGUUUUGUUGAUGGAAACAUGAUCAUAAAUUUACACUUUGAUUGGAUUACUUUGUUUUCACCAUGAUGCAGCGCCACCCAGUGGAAAUAUAAAGAGGUGGAGUUGAUUUAUUCCCUCAUAUUUCUGCAGCAGGAGUUGAUACCAUGUGUGAGAGUAGAUCAGUCAGAAGUUCAGAUUAAACCCAAAGGUUUUUUCUUUCCUUUGCACCGUUAGAGACCGAAUAUAAACUGAAGGGAGAGGAAGAGAAGUGAGGAGAGAUGGAGGUGAAGGGAGGAGGAGGAGGACAGGGUUUGGGGUUUUAACAAAAAUCUGAAGCUUUAUUCUUUCACUUGAUUAUUUUUAUUCAUCCGUUUUCUUCUUCAUUUUCUGAACUGAUUGUAAAUAUUGACUGGAGGUAAAUUGACCUUAUUUUAUAUUAUUAGACAUUAUUUUCCGUCUCUUUACAUGUUUUUGUUCUCAUAUCAUCUUUGUGCUCAUCAAUAAUCGAUUCCCUCCAGUUUGAACAAAUACAAUUAUUAAACCAUAAAUGAGACCUGAGAGUAAAAUUAAAAUGUGUGAAAUAUAAUCAGUCAAAGGAAAGAUUCUUAAACAAAAACAAAAUCAUUAUUUUUACUUUAUUAUGAUGGAGAAGUUUUCCUCUGACAGACAAAAAUAACCAUAUUGACCGGAGUCUGGAAAAAGUGAGAUCAGCAUCUAUUCAGGGUGAAGUCAUUAAUGUGGUCGAUGCUGUUUUAUAAACUCAGUGUUGUUGAUUACAAUCUCAGCUUCAUAAACUGAUGCUACAGUGGAGUGACUUCCUGUAAAAUCCACUGGCUUUGUGAGACCGUCAGCUUUCAGGAGAUCAGUUUGUGUUUCUGUGACACUCCAAAGCUUUUCUAUCCCACAGAAAAGAUCGGUGUGUUUUCAGAGACCUUCCUGAUCCCAUCCCUCCAAAAUAAAAAUAAUCUGAUGGUUUAUGGAUUCAUUUCAGUAACAAAGUGUCAUUUCUGUUGUUAGCCAAUCAGAGGCUGUAUCUGCCAUCAGCUGACCUGUAAAGGUCCAAUCAGAAGUCAGGACAGCUCAUGCCACAGUCUGAUCACACUACAGACACAUAAAACAUAGAACUAUUGUAAACAGAUUUGUCCUCUUCAGUUUAUCUACUAUCAAUAGAUCUGUGCUCUGUCUGUGUAACACUCUGUUGGUUCUUCAUUUACACCAGAUCAUUUUUUAUUUCAUUUCACUGUAACAAUGCCAUUUAAAGAUAAUAAAAACUUUAUUUGAACCAAAACAUGUUAAAAACGUCAACUCGGCUCGUUUCAUUCACUGUGUGCAAUUGAUUAUUAUUAUUUUUCAUUCAAACAGAAACUAGAUUUGGUCUUUAAAAAGUCCUCAAAGUGAGUCUGAAAAGUAGAGGAAGGUUUUAUCAUCAGGGUGCAGCACAGUUGUUUCCUGUGUUUUCAUUUGUGAUAUUCUCUCUAAGGUGUGUUAUUGUUCAUUUAAAGUAUGUGGAGGACAAAUCCACACAUCUAACAAAGAAGGUAAAAUAUAAAGAUAGGAGAUUUCUGCAUGACAUCAACGAUAUCCUGGAUUUAGUUUUCUAAGCAACAGGUGGUCGUCUUUUAUCGGGGGUACUUUGAUCCAGAAAUCUGAAAAGGGGUUACUAAAGCAAAAGAAGAAAAACCAGAGACUGUAUAUAGAAUGGACAGAGUCUGCCUCCUCGCUGGGUGAAGCCACUCUGAGAACAGCACCCUCUGUUGAUGGGCUGCAGUAUAGGUCAUAAAUCCCGCCUGCGCCAGCAAAGCUUAUGGAGCUGUGGACGAACUUUAGAAAUUUAUUACACAGAACAUAAUUUUUUCUCCCUCCUGGUUGUGAUGUUGACAUGUAGUUAUUGUCAGACUGGUUUGUGCUCAAGUCCUCUUUUUUCUGUGAAGCUCCAUUUUUAAAAGUUAUUAGGGGGUUCAUGUUUGCUAUGACGUUUCACAGCCAUAAGGAAUAACCAAUCGGAGCCUAGCACUUCUAGCCAAUCAGAUGCGAAGGAGGGUGGGACCUUCCCCUACCAUCCCACGAAAAAAAAAACCAAACACGUCCGGGUUUGCCGACCUUUAUUUCUGAGCCCCAGAUAACAGGACAGAGAUACCUAAAGCAUACAACGUGAACUUGUGUUAUCACAUCAACAUAUUUGGCUCCUACACUGAAUAUAAUGUUGGACAGUGAUCUUUGUAAAGUGAGGUGAAGGAGGAGUUUGUGUAGUGACAACACAAUCACACUGUGUGCAAAAAUAAAAACCUGUUCAACCAAAUCUUCACAUUUAGUUGGGGUAUGAGAAGAGGAGUGCUCAUCUGAAGUUUGUUGGUUUGACCAGCAGGUGGAGCUGCUGCAUUAACAAUAAACUGAGACUCAACCAAACAAACAAGUUCCUGUUUUAGUGAACUUUGAAUUUGGACUCAGGAGAGGAAGAUGGUUGUCAAGAAUACUGAACUUAAAGGAUGAUCAAUAACGGUCAGUAAAUGAGGAGAAGAAUCUGUGAUCUGGUGGUUUAGGUUUCAGUGAAAACAGUCAGAGUGAAAGUGAAAGUAUGUGAGCUGAAAAACAGACUCCAUUUUGAGAAAAGAAGAGAGAGGAGAGGACGAGGAGACAGGGUGAGUGUUUACUCUGUUUUAGUUUUAAUGUCAAACUCUUUAUCUGUUUUAUCUGUUAAUGAAAAAAUGAUUUACUGACUAAAACACUUAAAAACUGUAAAACAAAGAAACCUGAGCAGACAAAGAGCUGGAUCAGUUCUUCAUACAGGAAACUGUGUACGUGCAGUUCUUCCUCCUCUUUGUUUAGACUUGUCUUUUUGGUAAAAAUAUUAAUCAGAAUCUUUUUAGCGUCUCAUUUCAACUUUAAUCCAGUCUCCUUAAGUUUUUAUGAGAGUUCAGGGACCUCACAGCUGAUUUUGUUUUGACCAUGAAUCAGACAAGGAUCAGAGAGAGGCCCUGCAGGGUGGGGAGACAUCAGAAGUUCUUGGAUAUUAAACCUGUAUAACUCUUAAAGAGGGGGAUGAAGCUGUUUUUAGACUCUGUACUUCCUUUCUGAUUCCUCUUUUAUUUCUGAACUCUCUCUUCCUGUUUGUAUCUCACCUGUUUGUCUUCUUUGUCCUCAGGUUGUAUAACUCGGUUUCAGCCUCCAUAAAUUUGCACAACAGAAGAUGGAGAAGAUGAGUGUUGGUGUCGAGGAAGAGGAGGGCAGAGCAGAGUCUGAUAUGUUUGACUGUCUGUCUAUGAAGAGUGACCAGUCUAAAGGUUUUGAUAUAAACUUCAGUAAAGAACCAGGACCCCCAGAGGAGGACAGAACAAAGUCUGUUAUCUCCAGCUGUCUGUCUAUGAAGAGUGACCGGUCUAAAGAUCCUCCACCAAAAUUCAGUGAAGAACCAGGACCCUCAGAUUCACAGUAAGAGAAACACUUUUCAAUCACCAAACUCUCAAACAACAACAAUUGACGUUUCAAAUACAAAACUUUAAAUCCUGACCCCUCUGUUUUCUCCUCUGUUCUCAAAACACUGAUUUUCCUCUUAAACCUGCCAACCUGGAUAAAAUUCAAUUCAAUUCAACUUUAUUUAUAAAGCCCAUUUCAUGUACAAGGCAGACUCAAUGUUCUUCACAACAGGUGUACAUAGUUAAAAACAGUUAUACAAAAAUCAAUUAGAAAUCAAUGUAAGAGUGUAAGUGCAAGUCAACUUCACUGCAUGCACACUUAAACUCGUACAUGCGCACGCACUCACACAUGGACACGUGCACACGUACACACAUACACACACAGUUUAAAAGAAUGCUAUAGAAAUCUGUUUUUAAAGAUGGCUACUGAUGUGUCUAACUGUGUCAGGCAUGGUGUUCCAUUUUUGUGGGGCAUAAACACUCAAAGCUGCCUCCCCUCAUUUGGAUCUGGUGUGAGGGAUGAGUAAGUUGCCACUGCCUGUUGACCGAAGUGUUCUUGCUGAGGUGUAGGUGAUGAGCAUAUCUGUGAUGUACUGAGGUGCAAGGCCAUGUAGUGCUUUGUAAACCAGGAGGAGUAUUUUGAAAUCGAUUCUUGUCCUAACGGGUAACCAAUGUACAGAUUUGAGAACGGGUGUGAUGUGUUGAUAUUUUUUGGUACCAGUGAGAAUACAUGCAGCUGCAUUUUGAAUUAACUGUAACCUCUGAAGACUUGAUUUUGGGAGUCCAGUGAAUAAACCGUUAUCCAGUAGUAAUCCAGUCUACUUCUUAUAAAUGCAUGGAUGAAUUUUUCUAAGUCUGAUUUUGACAGAAAGCCCCUCAAUUUGGAGAUAUUUUUGAGAUGAUAGAAAGAUGAUCUUGAAUUGAAUCUUGUAAUGGAUAAAAGGCUGGUAAAGAAAAACUCACUGAGCACAGAUUUACUUAUUAUUGUUGAUGUUUAUAAAAAUGAAAGUCGUUUAAAACAGCAUUUGAAAAGGAUUCUGACUUCUUGUAUUUUCUGAUUUGGUUCCUGUGUUUGGGACGUUUUGAGCCUGUUAGUCUUUGGACUGUGGUCUGUAGACCCCAGAAAACAGUCUGUGGGUCACAAAAUACCAGAAGACCAAUGAAGAAAUAAAUCCUGAGAAAUAAAAACUCAUUCAGAGCAUCUGUCUGUUAUUAGACCUUUAGAUCUGAUCGGUGGAAAAAAAAGUUUUAAACUGUCAGAGAAAAUCUCUCUACCUUCAAAAUCACUUUAGUUUUUUCUCUUGUCACGACACUUCAGGCAGCAGCAGCUGAAUAUUUUACAGGAGAUUGUUUUAUGUUAGAGAAAAGAGAAACUCUGGUUUAAUAAAUGUUUCUUAUUCUGUAUCUUUCAAACAUGAAAUAAUAAAGAAAAUAAAUGUUCUUUAUUUCCACAGAGAGACACAGAGAUGUGACUCUGUGGAGGAGCAGCUGUCCAGAUGUUCUUUAUGUCAGGACGUCCUGAAGGAUCCAGUCUCUACCCGCUGUGGACACCAGUCUACUUCUUCAGGAUACACCUCCUGUCCCCAGUGUGGAAAAAGAACCAGAACAGUUCUUGUCUUUCAGACAGACAGCCAGUCCAGCUCUGAUCGAAGUAAGUCUGAACACCUUUAAACCCUAAAUUAUACAAUUUCUGCCAGAAUUAUUUUGCUUAUUUUAGCCAUAAAAUUGGCAGAAAAUGUCCUAUGAGUGAGUGCUUUUUUAUUCAUUGGCUUUCAACCCUGCAUGAGACUCGGCUCCUGUUUUAGUGUUUUAUGUUUUUUUUUUUUUUUUUUUUUUAUGUCUAUGCUUUUUUGUCUAUUUAUAUACAGCACUUUGGUUGGCUGUGGUUGUUUUAAAGUGCUUUACAAAUAAAGUUGAGUUUUACCCAUUUUUCCAGAACACUUCAAACUUUCAAUAUCUGGCUGUCAUUUACGAUUUACUGCCUGUUAAAAGAGUGCUAUAACAUUUUAAGAUAAAGAAAAACACAAAAACGGAAUACGAUUUUUUGAGUUUUAAUGAGAAAAAACAGAAAAUAUUCAUGAAAAACAGAUUUUUCAUUUGAAAUAAAAAAAAAUUAAAGAGUAUCAAACAUAUUUACAACAAAAACUUUGGAGUGCUGUCUCUCCAAGUGCAAAAACAGGCUAAAUAAAUACAACUAUGUCCACGCGUUUCUCCUCGUUUCUCCUCUCUCACUCAGAGGUCUUUGUGAAACUGUCAGAAGCUGUUCCUUUCUGUCUGCGGACACAGACCCACAUCACACCACUCACACUUCCAGGCAGUUCUCCUUAUGACAAAGUUUGCAGCGUCGUCUCCUCAUGCUAGUUCUUUGAGACUUCAUCUGUCCAUGGCUUGUUUGGGCACGUAGCUAUACUCUACUAUAAGCGAAGUGGAUGUAAUUCUCGGCGGGCAUGUGUUUCUCGGUACAACAUCAACGGUUGCAAAAUGAGAAAACGACGAGAAAACCGCCGAAGAUGAAGACUUGGUGGUAAGAAGAAAAGCAACGUCACUAACCUUUGAAGAUGAAGACUCGUUGAUUAAAAGAACGUCACUAACCAUAGAAGAUGAAGACUCGUUGAUUAAAAGAAAAGCAACGUCACUAACCAUUGUAGAUGAAUAUUCGUUGAUUAAAAGAAAAGCCACGUCACUUAUCUGUAAUUAUUUCGGUUACAAAAAGGAUGACGUCACCUAACACCUGUUCUGUGACGGCAGUGUCUUUCAUCUGUUUCCACAAUAACGUCCCAGCAGAACAAUAAAAACUAAAAAUAUCUCUAAGACAGACAGAAGCCAUUCUACUAACAUUCACUAAAAGAGGGAAGAUCAGUGCAGGUUAACUGUCCUCAAGAUUUCAGCAGAAAGUCAGAUUCAGAUCAUCUGCUAAAAAUUCCUCUAUUUUUUAAUAACGCUUAUAUAUCACAGGGUUGAACAACUUUGCAAUGUUAGUGUUUUCUAAUAUCAUGCUGUCUUAAUAGGCACACGUUACUACAAACUCACUGCCUUAGCAUGGUAUUCUAAUAAAGUCACAACAGGUUAUAAGUGUUGAUUUACUCAUAAAAUAACGUAAAUAAAUUAAAAACGACACAGAGAGCGCUUCAUUCAUCCAGAAACCAACACAGAAAACCAACCAGUCAAACUUUACCUUUCUCUGUCUGAAGUUGCUCUGAAAGCUUCUCCAUCUGUCCCAAAGUCGUCUGUAAACCUCAGUGGAGGUUUUCUCACUUGGGAGAGUUUAUCACAGACAUUUUCCUUUGAAAUAAUCCCUUUUUUGUCACUUUUCUCUCUUUUUGCUCCGUUUCUCUGCUCUGUUGUGUGUCUAUCCGCUGCUCCCUUUGAGAGGGGGAGAGGGGACGAGGAGACAGAUUUUCUCACUUCCCCAAACAGCAGGAGUGAAAUUACCGUAAUAACCGUUUAUUGACCGUGUGGCGCAACUUCUCAGCUUUCAGAAACCGUUGGAGAUUUUUUUUUGAUAGAACAAACUACCGCAAAGUUACGGUAAUUUAAAGAGCGCCUGUAUAAAGGUGUCGGCGCCGACGGACUGUGAGGAAAAGUCUGUGUGGAUGAAAACUCAGCUGACUGAUUUUCACAAAGACGUUUCAGUGUUGAGAAGUUUGGUUCAUUUUAUUUUUCUUCUCUUUCAGAUGAUGGCCUCCCGCAGGAGGUUUUAGAUGAACAUAAGAUCAGUCUGAAGAGGAGAUGUGAACGUGUGAAUGAAGGAAGUGAUGAAACAGGAAGUAGUCAAACCCUCCUCAACAGGAUCUUCACUGAGCUCUACAUCACAGAGGGACUGAGUGAAGAGGUGAACACCCAACAUGAGGUGAGACAGCUGGAGACUACUUCAAAGAUGAAGACCCUCCAUGACAUGCCCAUCAGGUGUCAUGAGAUCUUUAAAACCUUACCUGACCAACAGAAGAAGCUCAUCAGAGUGGUUCUGACCAACGGCGUGGCUGGUGUUGGAAAAACCUUCUCAGUGCAGAAGUUCACUCUGGACUGGGCAGAGGGUUUGGAGAACCAAGACCUCCAUCUGGUGGUCCUGCUUUCAUUCAGGGAGCUGAACCUGAUCAGAGAUGAGCGCUUCAGUCUUCUGAGUCUGCUCCAUGUUUUCCAUCCAACCCUAGAGAAGGUCACAGCAGAGACGCUGGCUGUCUGUAAACUUCUGUUCAUCUUUGACGGUCUGGAUGAAAGCAGACUGUCUCUGGAUUUCACAGACUCUGAGGUGGUGUCUGACGUCACACAGAAGUCUUCACUCAACGUUCUGAUAACAAACCUCGUCAAGGGGAACCUGCUCCCCUCAGCUCUCAUCUGGAUAACUUCUCGACCUGCAGCAGCCAAUCAGAUCCCUCCUUCACAUGUGGACAGGAUAACAGAAGUACGAGGCUUCACUGACGCCCAGAAGGAGGAGUACUUCAGGAAGAGGUUCAGAGAUGAAGAUCUGUCCAGAAGAAUCAUCCAACACAUCAAGUCCUCCAGGAGCCUCCACAUCAUGUGUCAGAUCCCGGUCUUCUGCUGGAUCACUGCGACAGUUCUGGAGGACAUGAUGAGAAGAAAGCAGAGAGGAGAGCUGCCCAAGACCCUGACUGACAUGUACUCACACUUCCUGCUGGUCCAGACUCAGAGGAAGAAGCAGAAGUAUGAAGGAGGACAUGAGACAAGUCCUCAGGAGCUGAUGGAUGCUGACAGUGACGUCCUCCUGAAGCUGGGGAGGCUGGCAUUGGAACAUCUGAACAGUGGAAACAUCAUGUUCUACCAAGAAGACCUGGAGCGGUGUGGUCUGGAUGUCUCAGAGGCCUCAGUGUACUCAGGAGUUUGUACAGAGAUCUUCAGAAGAGAGAGUGUGAUCUUCCAGAAAACUGUUUACUGUUUCGUUCAUCUGAGCGUUCAGGAGUUUCUGUCUGCAGUCUACAUGAUCCACAGUUUCACAACCAGGAACACAGAAGCUCUGAAGACUUUCCUAAGAAGCAACGAUGAUGAAGAUAAAAUGUCUUCUUCAGAGAUGGUUGACAGAUUUUUUCAAAACCUGGAUUAUUUUUUCUCAUCUCAGGAUGUCUUCCUGAAGAGUGUCAUGAUGAAAUCCCUUGUCAGUAAAAACGGUCACCUGGACCUGUUUGUUCGCUUCCUUCAUGGACUCUCUGUGGCGUCAAACCAGAGACUCUUAGGAGGUCUGCUGGGUCACACAGACAACAGUCCAGAAAUGAUCCAAACAGUCAUCAAGAACCUGAAGGAGAUGAACAGAGAAGAUAUCUCUCCUGACAGAAGCAUCAACAUCUUCCACUGUCUGAUGGAGAUGAACGAUCUGUCAGUUCAUCAGGAGAUUCAAGAGCUCCUGAAGUCAGGGAACAAAUCAGAGAAGAAACUCUCAGUGUUCCAGUGCUCUGCUCUGGCCUACAUGCUGCAGAUGUCAGAGGAGGUUCUGGAGGAGUUGGACUUAAAGAAUUAUAAAACAUCAGACCAGGGACGACGGAGACUGAUCCCAGCUGUGAGGAACUGCAGAAAGGCUGUGUGAGUCCAGGUUUUAUUCUCAGAAUAGUGUAAAUGAUCCCUGUAGUUCUUCUAAUGUCCACGUUACUGAUGAUGUUCUUCUUCAAAUAGAAAUCCACUCAAAUAUCAGGGAGGGGGUUUCUUCAGCAAAAACAUGAUCCUGGUGUCUAAAGUCCUGUUAGUCCAGGAUGAGGUCUACCCGUGGACCCCUGAGAACUUGUCCUAAUUGUGGAGGACCUCUUUGUUUUGAAUCGUGUCUGUAAUGAAUAAAGUGGAACUUUGAGGACAAAUCAGCGACCAUAUCUGAGGACACACAGAGGUCUUCUGAUGAUGGUAUCAGUCCAGAUCAACAUCUCAGUCAGUUGUGGUGAACUUGAGUUUGAAGAAGGUGUCUGCAGCUUCUUCCUGCUGGUUUUCAGGUUGGAAAUGAUGAAUCAGUUGUAAAUGAGGGUGUUGACAGCAUUGAUGGUGAAAAUAGAACUGGAUCAUUUUCUACACAGUGGCAGAACUGUCUUCAAAGAAAUGUUUUUAUCUGAACCAAACAGAGAAACAGGAGCUGCUGUGAUUUAGUGAGUCGUCUUCUGAUUGGUCAACAGUCAGUGCCUUACAUUAUAGCAGGAUGUCAACACUAAACACUGAGAGGAGCAUAAGUCAUGGAGUCAUUUGUCUUGAACAUCUAAACAGUUUUUUUUUUCUUCUAAACUUGGACUUCCUGUCUUCUCUCAUGGCUGUGGUCCUGAUAUUAGUAUCUGUCUGGUUAGAAACAGGCCGUCUGUCAAACCAAAGAUCAUGUUUGAGUUGUUUUUGGGGAAGAGAAACAUCAAAUAACCCUUUAAUAAAAUAUUGUUUGAUAUUUAUGUUGUUACAGAUUUUCUCUCUGUGGACUCUCAAAGACUCACUGUGAAGUUGUGGCCUCAGCUCUGAAGUCCAACCCCUCCCAUCUGAGACAUCUGGACCUGAGUAACAACGAGCUGAAGGAUUCAGGAGUGAAGCUUCUCUCUGCAGGACUGGAGAGUCCAAACUGCAGACUGGAGACUCUGAUGUGAGACACCAUUUCCUUCUGAUCUAACAAUAAGAUGUGACAGCUGCUGCCUUAGAUUUUUCUCUGUGGUUUUUCCAUCAACUUUGGUCGAGCAGUUUGAAUUUGUCGUUGUAAAACUUCGACACAGGAAGAAAAAUCUGACAUUUCAGAGUUGACUUUGAGGAGAACGAUGGAUGUAGAAAGGAAGCAGGAGAAAAUCAGUCCCACAAAUAUUACACAUGCUUGUAGAGGGCAGGAGCAGCACAGACUAAAGGCUGAUACUGAACUGAUCCACAGUUAAUGUGAUCACCAAUGAAUGAAUGAAGUGUCAGAGAAAUGAUGAGCUGCAGAUUGAAACCUGAAGAACAAAGUUAAUCCAACUCUGGAUAUUUCAUUUGGAAACUCUUGAAAACUUGAAUUUCUUCUUUGCUCAGUCGUGUUCAAAUGUAAAAACCAGAUCCAGAUUUGUCUGCAGUUUUCACUUCAGUUUGUUGAACAUGAACAUCAUCUUGUCCAGCUGGUCCAUAAAAACCUCUCUGAUCAAUGAUCUGUUGGUUUAUUUAAGAGUAGUUUGGCAGUUGUUGACAGCAGACGGACAGACCCCUGAAUAAACUCCUGACUGUUUUCAUCUUCAUGAAGAAUUCAGGACUACAAAAGAACCUUUGAGAUUUCUCACAGGAGUUUCUCAGGAUCUCACUAAAGUUUUCUGUUUCUGUAAAAUUUUCUUGACUGAUAAAUUCCUCUGGAUCUUCAAAAAGUUUAGAGAAGAUUUUACAAAGUUCCUGAAGAUCAACUCUGAAAAAGUUCUUCUUCCGUGUCCUUCAGGGUUCAAGAACAUUGAAUCAUUAAAAACAGGAACAGUUUCUUCAGAGGUUACAUGAUUUUUUUCUUUUUUCAGACUGUGACAGGUGUUUAUUAGUCUUUUUGACACGUUACAAUAAUGAGGAUAAAGUCAUGGACUAAACUUGGGCUCCCAGUUUCCUUGUUGUUGUUUCUUCAGCUAGCAUCAUUGUUUUCAUCACAGUUCUUAAAGUAAUAAUGAUGCUUCAUAAAUUCAGAGUCACAAAAAAACACCAAACAAACCAAAUCUGAAAAAAAUCCACUUUUUCAUCAAAUGAGUUUAAUCGGUCAGAACAUGAGGUUUGAGUUUUCAUGAGGAGGAAACGAGAAAGAUCUGCUCUGACAGUGAGAAACACAGACGCCUGAAUCUACACUGACAGACACACAAAUACAGACAGAGAGACACAGACAGAGAGACACAGACACAGACACACAAAUACAGACACACAGAGACACAGACACACAAACAGACUAACAGAGAUUUUCUUCUUCGUCUCUUUGCUGUGAUGACUGAAGUCACAAAAACAAAGUUUUCUUCGUCACUUUUAUGAUUGAACCAAAUAAGUUAAAGAACCAAACUCUCAGAUUUUCUUCUUCUCAAUAUUAUUUGAACCAUUUAGAUUUUUCUCCUGAUCAAUAUUCAAUGAUCAGAUUGAUCAGGUUCCUGUUUUGGCUCCACUGCCUCUUUUCUGCAGCUCAAUAACUGCUCAUAUGGUUUGAAAGGUUCCUGCAGUAAAACCCGAUUAGAGAGUGGACUAAAUGAAAUGUGAGUGAACUCAGCCAUCAGUGAAUCAAUGACAAAGUGAGAGGAAGAGUGGAUCUGUCUGCUGUCUGACCUUGUUGAUCCUGAUGAAGGUGAGGGAGAAGAGUAAAGCAGUAAAGGUGAUGUUGUUGCAGACAGAGUCAGCUGACCUGUCUCAUCAGAGUCUCAUCCAUUCUCUGUUUGGCAGAGCGCUGAUGUUACAGUCUGAGAGCACAUUCAGGUUCAGCUUCACAUGGGCUGGAUCUGCUCAAUACAAACUCUUGAGACCAGCCUGGUUGAGGGAGGUGGGCUCAGUGUCCUGGGUGACUCUCUCUGAGCUCUUCUUGGUUGAGAGUAUUUCUGGUUUGUCUCUGACUUCCAUGAACUCAGAUCUGGAGGAUUGCUGGCUGGUCCGGUCCAGUUCUGACAGUAGAGACAACACAGUCUGUUAUUCUGGGUUGAGUGUUCUUGUUGAAGAUCAGUGUACAGUGAGGGAUGAAGGCAGACAAAGAUCCUCCUGUUUCCUCCAUGUCACAGUUCAAGUUCAUUUUGAAGACUUUGAUUGAUACGAGCGCUGAAGAGGAACAGGAAACGUGGAGUAGAGAGUGAGGGAGGACUUACAGCAAAGGAUCAUGGGAGUCCAACCAGCAACUGCUGCAACAAGGACUCCACCUUCUGAUCAUCUGAACCUCUAAUCCAAACCAGUGCUCCAUCACAUUUGAUGUCUUGUCUGUUAUUUUACAUGGAGGGUCAGAGCAGACCAGAUCAUGAGCUCUGACAGACUGGAUCUGGUCCAAAGGUCUCCUGUUGGAGUUCUCUAAGCUCCAUAUUUUAAUCCUGAACACCUGAAGUUUGAUUAUUAAUUAUUUUUAUCUUCAUUCUCUUUCCUUUUUUCAGAUUGUAUAAAUGCAGUUUGUCAGAGAUCAGCUGUUCUUCUCUGGCCUCAGCUCUGAAGUCCAACCCCUCCCAUCUGAGAUAUCUGGACCUGAGUUACAACAAUCUGCAGGAUUCAGGAAUGAAGCUGCUGUGUGACUCUCUGCAGAGUCCAAACUGUAAACUGGAGACUCUGAGGUGAGACACCAUUUCCUUCUGAUCUAACAAUAAGAUGUGACAGCUGCUGCCUUAGAUUUUUCUCUGUGGUUUUUCCAUCAACUUUGGUCGAGCAGUUUGAAUUUGUCGUUGUAAAACUUCAACACAGGAAGAAAAAUCCGACAUUUCAGAGUCGACUUUGAGGAGAACGAUGGAUGUAGAAAGGAAGCAGGAGAAAAUCAGUCCACAAAUAUUACACAUGCUUGUAGAGGGCAGGAGCAGCACAGACUAAAGGCUGAUACUGAACUGAUCCACAGUUAAUGUGAUCACUAAUGAAUGAAUGAAGUGUCAGAGAAAUGAUGAGCUGCAGAUUGAAACCUGAAGAACAAAGUUAAUCCAACUCUGGAUAUUUCAUUUGGAAACUCUUGAAAACUUGAAUUUCUUCUUUGCUCAGUCGUGUUCAAAUGUAAAAACCAGAUCCAGAUUUUUCUGCAGUUUUCACUUCAGUUUGUUGAACAUGAACAUCAUCUUGUCCAGUUGGUCCAUAAAAACCUCUCUGAUCAAUGAUCUGUUGGUUUAUUUAAGAGUAGUUUGGCAGUUGUUGACAGCAGACGGACAGACCCCCUGAAUAAACUCCUGACUAUUUUCAUCUUCAUGAAGAAUUCAGGACUACAAAAAAACCUUUGAGAUUUCUCACAGGAGUUUCUCAGGAUCUCACUAAAGUUUUCUGUUUCUGUAAAAUUUUCUUGACUGAUAAAUUCCUCUGGAUCUUCAAAAAGUUUAGAGAGGAUUUUACAAAGUUCCUGAAGAUCAACUCUGAAAAAGUUCUUCUUCCGUGUUCCUUCAGGGUUCAAGAACAUUGAAUCAUUAAAAACAGGAACAGUUUCUUCAGAGGUUACAUGAUUUUUUUCUUUUUUCAGACUGUGACAGGUGUUUAUUAGUCUUUUUGACACGUUACAAUAAUGAGGAUAAAGUCAUGGACUAAACUUGGGCUCCCAGUUUCCUUGUUGUUGUUUCUUCAGCUAGCAUCAUUGUUUUCAUCUCAGUUAUUAAAGUAAUAAUGAUGCUUCAUAAAUUCAGAGUCACAAAAAAACACCAAACAAACCAAAUCUGAAAAAAAUCCACUUUUUCAUCAAAUGAGUUUAAUCGGUCAGAACAUGAGGUUUGAGUUUUCAUGAGGAGGAAACGAGAAAGAUCUGCUCUGACAGUGAGAAACACAGACGCCUGAAUCUACACUGACAGACACACAAAUACAGACAGAGAGACACAGACAGAGAGACACAGACACAGACACAGACACACAAAUACAGACACACAGAGAGACAGACACACAAACACAGACUAACAGAGAUGUUCCUCUCUGUCUCUUUGCUGUGAUGACUGAAGUCACAAAAACAAAGUUUUCUUCGUCACGUUUAUGAUUGAACCAAAUAAGUUAAAGAACCAAACUCUCAGAUUUUCUUCUUCUCAAUAUUAUUUGAACCAUUUUGAUUUUUCUCCUGAUCAAUAUUCAAUGAUCAGAUUGAUUAGGUUCCUGUUUUGGCUCCACUGCCUCUUUUCUGCAGCUCAAUAACUGCUCAUAUGGUUUGAAAGGUUCCUGCAGUAAAACCCGAUUAGAGAGUGGACUAAAUGAAAUGUGAGUGAACUCAGCCAUCAGUGAAUCAAUGACAAAGUGAGAGGAAGAGUGGAUCUGUCUGCUGUCUGACCUUGUUGAGCCUGAUGAAGGUGAGGGAGAAGAGUAAAGCAGUAAAGGUGAUGUUGUUGCAGACAGAGUCAGCUGACCUGUCUCAUCAGAGUCUCAUCCAUUCUCUGUUUGGCAGAGCACUGAUGUUACAGUCUGAGAGCACAUUCAGGUUCAGCUUCACAUGGGCUGGAUCUGCUCAAUACAAACUCUUGAGACCAGCCUGGUUGAGGGAGGUGGGCUCAGUGUCCUGGGUGACUCUCUCUGAGCUCUUCUUGGUUGAGAGUAUUUCUGGUUUGUCUCUGACUUCCAUGAACUCAGAUCUGGAGGAUUGCUGGCUGGUCCGGUCCAGUUCUGACAGUAGAGACAACACAGUCAGUUAUUCUGGGUUGAGUGUUCUUGUUGAAGAUCAGUGUACAGUGAGGGAUGAAGGCAGACAAAGAUCCUCCUGUUUCCUCCAUGUCACAGUUCAAGUUCAUUUUGAAGACUUUGAUUGAUCCGAGCGCUGAAGAGGAACAGGAAACGUGGAGUAGAGAGUGAGGGAGGACUUACAGCAAAGGAUCAUGGGAGUCCAACCAGCAACUGCUGCAACAACGACUCCACCUUCUGAUCAUCUGAACCUCUAAUCCAAACCAGUGCUCCAUCACAUUUGAUGUCUUGUCUGUUAUUUUACAUGGAGGGUCAGAGCAGACCAGAUCAUGAGCUCUGACAGACUGGAUCUGGUCCAAAGGUCUCCUGUUGGAGUUCUCUAAGCUCCAUAUUUUAAACCUGAACACCUGAAGUUUGAUUAUUAAUUAUUUUUAUCUUCAUUCUCUUUCCUUUUUUCAGAUUGUAUAAAUGCAGUUUGUCAGAGAUCAGCUGUUCUUCUCUGGCCUCAGCUCUGAAGUCCAACCCCUCCCAUCUGAAACAUCUGGACCUGAGUUACAACAAGCUGCAGGAUUCAGGAGUGAAGCUUCUGUGUGAAUUUGUGCAGAGUCCAAACUGUAAACUGGAGACUCUGAAGUGAGACUUUUUCCCUCCAUUCAAACAUGAUCAUGAUUUGUUUGUGAUGAUGACACUAAACUGCUGACUCAGGACUGAAAUACUGACCCAGACUGAACACCUUCAGUCCAGAGUAGAUUUUCUUCAUCAGUGGAUUAUUUGAUUGACUCCAGUUAGAUCACUGCUGAGCUCCAGUGAAUUAAAACCUGAACCCAAGAAGAAAACUCUUUGUAGAGUUCACAGUGAGAAGCUCAUUCAGACAGAAAACAGAAGCAGGGGGAGAUUUGUCAGAUGAGAACCAUUCAAACUUUUGUUCAGGACAAGAUCAGGGAAUAGAAAAAACUCAGAGUUUAGUUUCUGACACUGAUGAAAGUCCAGCUCUGUUACUUUGAAUUUUGUUUUUGAAUCUUUGUGUGAAAAUCUGAAUUUUCUGGUUUAUCUGCACUUUUCUGAAGCCUUACUGUGUUUAGACUGAAAUAUUUACCUCUCAAAGACGUGAAAUUUUUGGUUCAGCAAAGUGAAAAUAUUCUGAACAUCCUUUGUUUCCCAUCCGUCCUGAAGUCACUGACAUUUUCUGAAAAUAUUGAGCUGCAUCUACAAUCAGUAAAAAAGUCUCUGAGUUUUUUAUUUCACUAUUUAAUGUGUUUUUGAAUUCACUGUUUCAAACUGACUUCCUGUUUGGUUCAGCUCUUUGGAGCGUCACUUUUCUCUGAUUUAUACUUUCCAAACCUUUCCCCUGAACUCUACAGAUUUAAGACAUCAGGUUUCAAACUGGAUCAUUUUUCUCUAAAAUCUCAUUAUUUCCUCUUUAUUUAGGUUAAUGAGCUGCAGUUUGACGAAGAUCAGCUGUUCUUCUCUGGCCUCAGCUCUGAAGUCCAACCCCUCCCAUCUGAAAACUCUGUGGCUGUAUGGAAACAAUCUGCAGGGUUCAGACAUGAAGCUGCUGUGUGAUCUUCAGAAGAGUCCUGACUACAGACUGAGGACUCUGAAGUCAGUAUAGAGUUGGAGUUAGUCUGUGCUGAUCUCUCCUGUUCCUCUCCACACAGUAUCACAGCAGAUAUUCAGUAUUUCCUGCUGACUCUUCGACCCUCUCAGAGGAUUAUCUCUUUAGUGAAGCUGUGAGAACAGAAAUCAUCAAACCAGGAGUGUAAGAGUGUCAGUGAUGAAAAAAGUGUCUCCUCGUCUCUAUAUUUCAGAUCAAAUGUAGAAAUGAGACAUAAUGAAACAGAAAUGUUCAGUUUCUGCUCUGAAGUCCAGUUUAUAGUUCUCUGUAUUCAACACAGACUUUAUUUCUCUGCUAACUUGUUGAUUUUGAGCUCUAAGUCUGAAAACAGACAGCUGUUCUUUAUACUUGUUAUUUUCACAGCAGGUUUGUUCGAUCAGCUUUAACACAUUUGACAGGAAUGAUUUCUUUAUUUUGAUGAUGUUGGUUUAUUUGUGAGGAAACCUGCUGCUUUACACCAUCACUUCUGGUCUGAGCAGGACUGAGACCUGCUGGUCUGUAAACUGGAUGUUCUUCAGUCCAGCUGAUGAAGUGAGUCUCAGAGUGGAAACACUGAUCGUCUUUUUUUCUCUCCUCAGAUGGAGUUAACAUCUGUCAGAGUGAUUAAGAAGAGGAUCAUGUGUUUCCUGACGAUCAGAGAGGUGGAGGCAGCAGCAGUGAGGGUGAGGUGAGUCUCUGACUGAGAGACUGACUGACCAAUCACAGCGGGCGGAGAGGACUCUGGGAGCUGCACUUUGACCUGCUCUGAGAUCAGCUCAGGACCUGGACUCUGGAUAUUUGAUAUUUUCCCUCAUAUUCUGGGAUCAAACAGUCUGAACAGGUUUGUUUUGUUGAUGGAAACAUGAUCAUAAAUUUACACUUUGAUUGGAUUACUUUGUUUUCACCAUGAUGCAGCGCCACCCAGUGGAAAUAUAAAGAGGUGGAGUUGAUUUAUUCCCUCAUAUUUCUGCAGCAGGAGUUGAUACCAUGUGUGAGAGUAGAUCAGUCAGAAGUUCAGAUUAAACCCAAAGGUUUUUUCUUUCCUUUGCACCGUUACAGACCGAAUAUAAACUGAAGGGAGAGGAAGAGAAGUGAGGAGAGAUGGAGGUGAAGGGAGGAGGAGGACAGGGUUUGGGGUUUUAACAAAAAUCUGAAGCUUUAUUCUUUCACUUGAUUAUUUUUAUUCAUCCGUUUUCUUCUUCAUUUUCUGAAAUGAUUGUAAAUAUUGACUGGAGGUAAAUUUGUCUUAUUUAAUAUUAUUAGACACUAUUUUCCGUCUCUUUACAUGUUUUUGUUCUCAUAUCAUCUUUGUGCUCAUCAAUAAUCGAUUCCCUCCAGUUUGAACAAAUACAAUUAUUAAACCAUAAAUGAGACCUGAGAGUAAAAUUAAAAUGUGUGAAAUAUAAUCAGUCAAAAGAAAGAUUCUUGAACAAAAACAAAAUCAUUAUUUUUACUUUAUUAUGAUGGAGAAGUUUUCCUCUGACAGACAAAAAUAACCGUAUUGACUGGAGUCUGGAAAAAGUGAGAUCAGCAUCUAUUCAGGGUGAAGUCAUUAACGUGGUCGAUGCUGUUUUAUAAACUCAGUGUUGUUGAUUACAAUCUCAGCUUCAUAAACUGAUGCUACAGCUCAUGUCACAGUCUGCUCACACCACAGAAACAUUAAACAUAGAACUAUUGUGAACAGAUUUGUCCUCUUCAGCUAAUCUACUAUCAAUAGAUCUGUGCUCUGUCUGUGUAACACUAUGUUGGUUCUUCAUUUACUCCAGAUCAUUUUUUUAUGUCAUUUCACUGUAACAAUGUCAUUUAAAGAUAAUAAAAACUUUAUUUGAACUAAAACAUGUUAAAAACAUCAACUCAGCUUGUUUCAUUUACUGUGUGCAAUUGAUUAUUAUUAUUUUUCAUUCAAACAGAAACUAGAUUUGGUCUUUAAAAAGUCCUCAAAGUGAG
rnacentral:lncRNA from 1 species